UAUUGUAGCAACAGUACUAAUCGAUAGUAUUAACUAAAUGAGUUAGGAAAAUUUGAUUAUGUAAAGGUAAUUUGUUACAGUGAGUUUUCAGAUAAUAUAAAGGCCUGAAGCAAGCAAAAGGUUAUAUAAAACUUGGAAUGAUGUGAUCACGAGUACUUCUCAUAGGUGUACUGACCAGGUGAGCAUACGUAGCAAGUCAAAAACGAAGAGCCGAUACAUAUAUUAAAAAAAAGGUGAAAACACAGCAAAAUGAUCCCUCAAAUCUUAUGAUUGGGGAAACUUGAAGAUUCCGGAUGGAUCACAUCCAGAAAGUGGGAAAGGGAACUUGUGAGAUGAACUCGUACUAGUACCACCACCGCCGCCGGCAAGAAGCUUGUCCAGAAACGACCAGUCAGCAUUAUUACCAUUACCGAUGAACUUGUCCUGUGGGAUGAUUGGUGCAGUAGUAGUAGUGGCGGCAUAACCUUGUGGGCGCGCCCCCGCCCCACCACUUGGCGUCAGGCUCAACAAGCCAUGGUGCAUCAUCAGGGACGAUGACGACUCAUGGUCGCCGUUAUUGUUGUUUGAAGUGAAGGGCAUCAGUGGGCAAGAAAGUCCGCCGCCGGAGAUGUUAUUAUUCCCGGCUGCUGCGGCUACUGAUUCUGCGCUGAACAGUUGGGGAAGAUGCAUGGACCCGUCAAAUCCACCCGCGCCGCAGUGGUCAUUAUUAUAAAGUAAAUCGUGAAUGUGGUGGCGGUGGGGGGGGGGGCUUGGGGGGGUGUGGGGGUGGGGGGAGAUGNNNNNNNNNNNNCGGUGGCAUGAUGAUGCUGAUCGGCGUCUCCGAUGCCGAUUACUUGCUGUGGAAGGUAGCCUCUUACAUGGUUCUUUUUCUUGAAUACUCGACACACUACCCAUCCGUCUUCCUGCUCAUCAAUUGUAUCCACAAAUUAACUUCCAAAUAUAAUCGAAAGUUGAAAUNNNNNNNNNNNUCCAACGUUGUCAAUUGCGUUACAAUAACCCAAGAGUCGUAUCAUAUAAUAUAUUUUUGAAUAUUUUAUUUUAUCAAGUAAAAUAUUCGUACUCUUUAUAUCUAAAUUACAAUUUCUAACUAAUUGCAUUUUAUAAAUUAUUGCUUACUAUGAUAUAUUUAAUUCAAUUUUUGAAAUCACUAGAAUGGAAUUUUUUUAAUUUUUUUUUAAAAUAUGAAUGUUGAGAUUGAUUUUCUUAAUUUUUUUCUUUUACUAUAAUUUCCUACAAGUAGAAUGGAAUUUUUGUAUUCGUCUUUAUUCACUAACGCCAACGAAAGUGAGAAGAUUCCCAGCAUGUUGAGAUUACUAGCAUGCAUGUUGAGAUUUAUUAGAAGUACAAAUACAGUAAAAAUAGGUGAAUGUAAAAUCAUUGAAAAAAUUACAACGCAUGAUUUAGAAGUACCUGAACGUCAGAGUUGUCGUCGUCGAGACGAUAUUCAUGCAUAAUCCAGUCGGUUUUAUGGCCAUGAGGUGCACGUCCGGUAUAGAACACGAGAGUUUUACGCAUCCCUAUCCUCUGUGAAUUUCCGAGGUGUAUGGCUUUGUCCCUCCCCGUCGCCUUCCAAAACCCGGCCGUAGUUGCUCGGUUGGUUCGAGUCCCAGUCGGGUACUUCUUGUCCUUGUGGCUGAAGAAAUACCACUCAUUUUGAGGCCCUGUUCCUAUCCUGCACUUCUCUGCAUUAAUUAACCACAAAAAAGAAGCUAAGUUAGUAUAUACACUAGUAGUGAGUCUGAUAUGCGCAAUCUAGACAGGGCUGCUGCAAACAUCUUAUUAAAGAGAGCGACAUAGUCUGCGACUGAGACAGAUCAAUAACGUCGAGGUCGUCUUUAAUUAUAAGAUGAGUAAGUCGUGAUAUAUAUGUACCUUUGAGGUCCCAAGGCUCGAGCUUGUUGAGGUCGACUUCCCGGAUAACGUCGAGGUCAAUAGCCUCAUAAGAAACUUUCUUCCUGAGAUAAUAGUACAGAAGUUCCUCAUCCGUUGGGUGGAACCUGAAACCUGGAGGCACCGUCAGCUGCCCACUCCCCGCCAUGAAUCUUAUCAAUAUAUAGAGCUGCUGUGCUUGUUUGUAAGGUAAGUAAGAAAGUAGUGGGUUGCUGGUUUUGGAAAGUUGGAAGGAUAACUUUUGCUGGAGAUAAGUGAGAUCAGAGAUGAAAGAAGGAAUAUUGAAGUUGUUGGGUCACCGGCACCCAAAAGGAGGGGAAUUGACGUAGCCGGCAGUCUAAUGCUGGAGAGAGAGAGAGACAGAGAGAGAGAUGUGAGAGAGAAGGGAUUUUGAUGAAUUCGAGCUUUAACAUGGAUGAGUGAUCAGCGACACCCGACCCAAGAUUGGAACAGAAAUAAAGGAACCUAUAUUAAUUAAUUAAUUAAUUAAACAACUACAAAAAAAAACAAUUUAGGAUAUAAUUUGUUUUUACUAGUAGUAGCUUUUAGGGUAUCAAGUGGUUUAAUCGUGAAAGUAUGUGCGUGAUUCUGUAAAUUGUUUUAAUGUCAAGUUUGGGGCAAUUUAAUUAGUUGUAACUUGUAACUCCGGGUAAUAGCAUUAUUCAUGAGACUCUUGAUGGUUGACUAUGCAAGACAACGUUAUUUUGUUAGGCAGGUAUUCGACUAUAUAUGAUUCGAUCGAAAAUGGUUAUAUUUGCACUGAACGGGUUAUAGAUUGAUGUUGUUUAAGUACCCAUGAUCAUAUAUCUUACCCGCAUAUAUAAAAUUACAUUCAACCCUUAUGGUUUACAUAAACAUAACAUAUAAAUAAGGGUGAAUUUUUCAGUAUAUCUGGUAUACCGAAACUUUCGGUGUGCCCAGUUUUUUUUGGUAACGUAAAUCCAUCACCAACGUCCAUUUUCAGUUUGCGAUCUCGACGGCUCAUAAUUAUUCGAAUAUUAAAUUUCUAUUUCACAUUUUAUUUUUGAUCUCAUAUAUUUUCUCAAUUUGUAAACUAGUCACCCUUUUUAAUUCCUGUAUACCAAUAGAUUUGUACCCUCCGUAAGGGCAAUCAUAAUCGAACACAAAGUAAAGUUAAUCCAGAUGACUCCCGCUCUGAUCAAUCUUGAAAUUGUGUUUGCAAUGUCCAAAUUGUUGGUCACUAUCCCCACUGCUAACCCAUACCUUGUAUUGUUCGCCAACUUGAUCGCUUCUUCCGUCGUUCUAGCCACCACAUAUACAUCAAAUUAGGAUUCAUAUGUAUGUACAUGGAAAUGUAAUGAACGUUUCGGAAAAUAUGUACUUGAACUUCAUGAGUGACAUCACCGGACCGAAGAUCUCGUCUUUCACUAUGGUCAUAUCCUCAUGUGCACAUUUGCAUGAACAACUAGUGUCAAAAUCCAUUAGGGCAUGGAAAAGAAAGAGAACUUUUUCGACUGACCGUAACAUCGGUGAAGACAGUAGGAUGGAUGUAAUAUCCCUUAUUGGCAGCAGCUUUACCGCUGGUUAAUAAGGUAUCUCCUUCUUUCUUUCCUUGCUCAAUGUGCAGUAUCUUCUCGUACUGUUUCUUAUCGACCUGUGGACCAAGACGAGAAGCCGGGUGGAAAGGAUCACCAACGACCCAGUCUUUGGCUUUCACAGCCAACUUGCCGACGAAUUCAUCGUAUAUUCCUUCCUGCACAUACACCCGUGAACUUGCUAGUCUAGAAAUGCUUUCUCAGGUGUCAACCCUUUAUUCAUUGUUUCAUCCUAAAAUAAAAAAGGGGAAUAAGUAAGCGACAAAAGUAGCACAUUUAUUGAAUCAUCUUUUCGUUCCGUUUACAUGUAGGUUAGCCGGAAGAAAACAUAGUGGACCUCCUGUCCUCGAGGUCUUCAGUUCAGUCAGCUCUACUAUUUUUUGUUGAUAAGCAACACAUGUUAUUGCCUAAACAAUAUGUAUGACAUUAGCAAAGCGAUUGUGUUUUUAAAAACAUGGAAAUAAAAACUAAUGUCUUGCUGUUGUACCUUUGUAUCUAACCAUGUAUCAGCAAUCAACGUCCAAAGCGCAAUGCGAUCACAUUUUAACUCAUCGUGUUGGAUCAAAACUUCAUCCAUGGGGAGUUCUCGGUCAAAUAUGUAACACGAUACCUUCUUUCUGAUAUCUUCGAACUGCAUGUUGUCCAUCAAAAUGUAUUACAUAUUAAAGAAAAUAAUCAUCGUAUUUUAUCAACACCAAGAAAAUCAUACGAUCACCUUAAAUUCGCCAUCAGAUAAUUCCGAAUUAGACACCAAGUUCACUAUAGGUGUGGUCUUUCUCUGUUUCUUACCUGCAAAACAUUACAACUUGUGGUCAACUAUUUUUGUCGAUAUGAACGAAAAGAAGGUACAAAGCAACUUACUUGCGAAUUUGAAUUUUCGCCGAAUUUCCCGAUAAACCUAGCUUAGCUUUUCCAUUGUUGUUGGCCACGUAUAUGGUGAUGAAUACGAUAAUAAUAAAAAUAUGUAUAUAAACGAGAAUGUGGAUGAAUUUUAGGAACAGGUUUGUGAUAGUGCUAGGAUCUGUAGCAGUUAUCUAUCCUUUUAUGCAUGUUUUUUGAGUGAUUAUUAGUUUGUUCGAGUUUCAUUCCCAUAUGAUUUCGUGUUUUGGCAUCAUGUUUCUAGAUCCGUUCACUUGGACCGUCUCGGUCCAUUUGAUGUGUUCUUUGUAGUAUUUGUCACCUACAGGUACUUUGGAGAUAGGUGGUCUGGCUAUGAAGCCAAGGACGUGAAGUAUAGCACGAUUGGAGUUUGAACGGAAGAUCGAGAAAGGAAAUAGAGGAGCAGAGGGGUUGCACGCCGUGCAUACCUAGUACAUGUUAAAAUCCUUGGCCUCAAAACAGGGGAAUGGCGUGCACCCCUGCACACCGUUCCGCCCUUUUAGCUACGUGGAAUAUUGAAGACAAGGAGGUACACGACGUGCACCCCUGCAUGCCAUUCUGCCCUUUUUGCUAUGCGGGAUAUUGAAGACAAAGAGGUAGAAGAUUGAAGUUAGGAUUGAAGUUAGAAGACUAAAAGCGACGAUUGGAGGAAGAACAAGCUGUUAUCUCUUCAACAAGAUGAUGGUUAGGGUUUCUUUUGAUUUGUCUUCUUCUAGAGUUAUGAGUAGCUAAGUCUAUAGAGUUUCUUGGUUGAGAUGUAGGAUUUGAGUCGUGGUACUUAAUUUGAACGUUUAGAAACGACGAUUGUGGAUAAUUGGAUGUGAAUGGCUGUUUGCUUUGAUUCUUGAGCUUUUCAACCUAAUUAUUGUUACGACAAUAAUUAGGUCAAAUCUACGGGUUUCUCUAUUUGAUCGAUUUAGGAAUUCAUAAGAUUAACAUUUCAAGAUAGAUUAAAGUUAUCAGUGGGGUAAGCUGACCACCCAAUUUAACCUUUUGUUUUUCUUCUAAUUUUAAAAGUUAUUCAUCUUUUAAUUAGCACCCAAUGGACCAAGUUGGGUGUAGUUAUCAGUAGCUUAGGCGUUGAUGGACCAAGUUAACACUAUUUCCAAUUACUUGUGAUUUCUUUUAAUUUUGGAAAAACACCUUAUCAGUUUGUAGAACUUCUCGGUGUUCAUUAACGACUAGCCCGAUUAAGGUUAUUUCUACCUUAGUUGGGAAGCUAGUAAUGGUAAUCCGCGUGCAUGAUCGUGCCGCGGAUUCAUACAAGUGAUAGGGGGAUUCAUUUUAUUCAAUCCAAGUCCAACAUUUGUUCGUUUUGAAUGCGUUUCGGAAGUUGAGCUUGAUGAAUCAUCUCUUCCAAGAACUUAUUUUCACCUUUUCAAUCAACCUUUGAACUGUUAGUUUCAAUUAAUCAUUAAAGUAACUAAAAUUCAAAACCAAUUCCGUUAGCCUAAACCGUGUUGCAAGUUUGAGUACAAGUAUAACGAGAGGAACCUUUGGACAGAAACGACACUUGUGUUGUCGAAUUAAUUGUGAAGUUAUUUCGGCGAUCAGUAUGGAAAUGGGUAUAUCAUACAAUACCCCCGCCACAAACGACCCCAUUGAUAUGCCUACUAUUGGCAAGUUAGAAGUUCCCCUGACUAUUUGUUGAACUUCUGAUCGAGCUGUUUAUUUUAUAGGACGUCUGACACUUUUAUAUCUCUUACUAAAGACAGUUUUAUAAAUUCCGGAAGUCCUCAAUGAAAAAUAAAAAAAGUAAUAUUUUUCUGGGAGAAAGAAUCAAAAUGAAAACCAUAGAGUAAAAUGUAGCACACACCAUUGUUGCCGAUAAUCUUUACUCCGUGUAAUGUUACAUAUUUAGGAUUCCGCUCUAUCUUGAUGUCUCCUUUUCGAACUUAUAGCAUGGGCAGGCUUAUUAUGAAUAUCAUCAUGUCUGUUUGUGCAGCAGCUAGCCUGUAGGCUAUAGGUAGCAGCAUCCGAUUUGUUUGAAAUUGAAAAGAUGGGUUGGAAUAAAUGUCGGUUGAAUGAGAGACCUCUCUCCCAUUUAUCGCCUUAUUACAAUGAAGAAAUAUCGGCCCUCUUCACUGUCAAUUACUGGCCUAAUUCAUUAAUUCUUUUUAUAAUAUUUAGUUUUAUAAAUAUAUCCCAAUUUUCAUACUCUAGUCAUUACAUAUAUAAUAUAUUCGAUACAUACAAAUCGAUUCCUACAAGUCCGCACAUUCUUUUGACUUCUUGGGUAUAAUAUGAAAACCCACGACAAAAACAAAUAUGAUUUCCAAUUCACCCCCCAGAUCAUGAGGGAAUGAUUUUAUUUGUUGUUUAUAUAUAAUUGAUUAGUACAGUGGAAGCUUACGCUAGGACUAAUGUAAAACAAACAAAAAUAAAUCAAUAAAGUGAAUAUCAAUUAAAAAUUAUUAAAAUAUAUGUAUGAUUCCUUCAAACACGUGUAUUAAACAUGAAAUACGUGUUUUAUACGUGAAGCAUCAAACAUACGUGAAAAAUUAAACGGCUUUACAAUAGUACGGGAACGAAAAUUUUAAACACCCAUAAUUCAUAUACAUGCAUUGUACGAGUAUUAAACGGAUUUUUGCUAACUAAUAAAUCAUAUACCAUUAGUUUAGUUCAACAUUAAAUUUCAAAUUAGGUAAUACUUCCUGAAUGAGUACCAAAUCAUCAGGGCAUUUCAAGAGUCAAAUAGCAAUAAUUAAUUAUCACAUUCAGUAAUUUCACAUCGUCUCUAUUCUUAAUUCUUACAAGCUUUUAAUAAUUUUUAAUAAUAAUUUGUGGGACGAAAAAGAAAAAGAAUAACACAAUUCGGAGAUCAACAUAAAAAAAUGCACACAUACAUAUUUCACAUGUCCAAAACAUCAUGAUACCUACGAGAUAAACUAGGGGAGGAGGAGGAGGAGGCCACCGCGGUGCUCAAGAUUCAGGAUCAGAGCAACCAUGCAUGGUAAAAUAGAGAUGUCAAAUCUGUUAUUUUCUUAUUUUAGUUAUAUUCAUACUAGAAGCCCGCACCAAGUCGAUAGACAUGUUUCGCGCCAAACGUUUUGCGCAAGGGAACAAUGCGGAGAAUAAAGUUUUCUUGAGUUUCAAAAGGGUGGCUGCAACUGCCACACUCGUUUCGAGUUUCAAGCCUUGAGAGCAUCGCGAGUUGAAAUUAAAGAGUCCCACGAUCGGGUGAUGCGCCAAAGUAUAGGUUUGAACCGAAACAUCUCACAGCUUCCGCCAGGCGCCUGGUAGGUGUAUUAGUUGCCUUUUUUACUGAGUUUCCAUAUUCGAGAGUUGUUUGAAUUGUCUCGGGGAGGUGGGGACAUCCCGCGAAUAGUUUCCGCUCCUUGUCGUCAUCCCAAAUUCCAAAACCGGGAACGACAAGAUCAUUGACCGUCAACGUAAGUAAGUUUCAGAUUACAUGGUGUCUCCAAAUAACAUUUUCCAUGAUGAUGAUGCUGCCUAGAUAUUCAUUGAUUCGAAGACUAAUUAUUUAUUUCUUGUUUAUACUUUCAUGAUCUGAAAGGGGUUCUAAUUUCUUUCGCAAUUAUUCUCAGAGUCUGGUCAACAUAUAUUAAGGAUAUGAAAAGGGAUUCUGAACUUAGGAGAUAACGAAGGAGACGUAGGAUUCAAGAAGGGAAUUGAAUAUAGGAAAUCAAUGGUUUAGUUUACAUCUCUUCAAAUUCAGUGCACCAUUCUGUUCUUUGCUCGGGACAUGCAUAAAAGAAAUAAUUUUUAAAAAAUAAAAGGUGAAAACAUUAAAUUCAAAGCCGAUACAUCGGCCAACCCAAUUAAUUUAUUUAAUUGCGCAAACUAUGGACUGGAAUCCAACAUGUACUGUCCUCAUGAUUCAACAUGCAUUUAGGGUUUUCCAAUCCUAAUGAAGAAAAUAAGUGAUGGAUUUUUCGUACCUAAUUAAUUUUCCAAAAUUUACAUCAUUAUAAUAUAAAUUUAAUUUAAAUGCUACGGUGCCUGUUAAAGUGAGAUUGUGUUCACCCAACUGAUAUUUAUUUUAUUUAGAGUGAUUUUUUAAAUUAAAUAUUUAAAUGAAUAGAGGUUAAGACAUUCUACAAUAAGAUUACACUUGAUCUUCUUUAGUUUUAUUUUAGAAGAAUUACAUUUUUAACUAAAAUAAUAGAUUAAUAUUAUCUCUACCAAAUCUUUAGACUAAAUUGAGAGGUACAUUGUUUGGACUGCAUAUGUGUUGGGAUCUUGGGUUUCGUAAGGUCGAGCUCGAUGUGCGCAGUUCAUAUCCUCUCUCGGCAUCCUUUGAUUGUGACCAUAUUCACUCACCCACGAUCCACCAUGAUCAUCAGCUUUUCCAUCGAGUUUCAACAUAUUUUUCGUGAAAUUGUAAUCAUGUCGUUGAUUACGUUGCAACCAUUGACCUGCUUUUUUUCGUAGUUUUCAUUGUAUAUAUUGAGCUUUCUGAUCAUACUCUUGUAUACUGAUCUUCUUAUGACCUAUUUAAUUUUGCAGAACUACGUUUGAUUGUAACAUAAAAAUUAAUUUUUGUUUAAAUCCCUUAAUACUUUUAUUUCAUGAUGAUAGUUAGAUUCUUAACACAAAUGGAACAAAGUAUGUACAUGUACAAUAGUUUUGGGAGAUACGGAUUAAACGUGGCAUAACAAUAGAACGAAGGAGGAAAAUAAAAAGUAUCAAGUUGUUUUUUUAAAAGUGAUAAUGGUGAAGACCAUCUUCAUCGCAAAAUUCAUUUAACAAUUUUUAAUUGGGUUCAUAUUCCCAAAUCAACAACUUAAACAAUAAAAUUAUUGAAAAAUGCUAACUAUCUCCAUCCCUACAAUAUUUAGCCAUUUUUAAUAAAUAUUUAUAUGUUUUUAACAAUAUUUCUGCAUCAAUGAUAAAUAGGUAAUUUAUAAAAUAUUUGGUACUCAUAAAUAUUUUUCCAAAAAGUGCACCUUGACUUAUGUGACAUUGCUAAUUGACUUUUUAGAUUAACAAUUUUACUAAUUUAACAAGCAUAUAUACAUCCUUAAAAAUUACUAAAGAGAGCCACAUCAUCUUCCACCUCAUUUUAACACCAUUGCUAAAAUUCAGUAAUGGUGAUACCCUAAUAAUUAAUUUAUAUACGUUCAGAAUGUUUAGCAGUUUAAAUACAUAUAUAUUCAUCCAGGUAAAACAUCCCACGACCCACACAUUAAUUCAUUGUCUUAAUUAUUGAACUGUAUUAUCACUUGCUUCCUAAUUAGACUACUUGUACAACUACGUACGUAGAUACGUAUGUAUAUAUGUUGUAUGCAUGUCAUGUGAGGGAUGCGUAGAGAAGUGAAAAAGGAACUAAUUAAUUAAUUAAUAUAAAAGGUGGAAGUCCGUUUGGAUCACGUACCCUCGCCGAUCCCAACACGUACGUACACUAUUCAUUAAUUAUUGUGAUUACUUUAUUAUUAAUUAAUUGUGUAUAUUAAUUAAGGAAUGCUUACUAGCUUUCACGUGCUGCCUGCCUGGCCAUCUCUUCCGGCCGCUUGUAGUGAUACUGUACUGGUCAAACACGGAGACGAAAUGAACAACUACGUACUGCUAGCUGAAUUAAUACUACUAUAUAUACUUUAUAUAAUUUUUCAUUUUCAUUUAUAUUUAUGUGUUGUUGCUGCCGUUACCUUUACGAAUACGAUUUGGUUAAUUAACCUUCAUGCAUGUGUGUGUAUAUGCUAUAUACAUCUCUGCCUCGGAAUUUACAUGGUUGAAUGUAUAAUUGGGGUUUCAAUUAGUUGGGCUGGAACACUGUUCUAUCAAAAUGGAAGCAAUUAGCUAGCUAGAUGGCUUUGGAGAAUUUAACUGUCAAACAUAAAAUACCUUGGGUAAUGCUAUAUACAGUCCAUAUUUUAUUUCAUGCAGUUUAUAUUUUAUUGUAAAUGGAUUAAUAUACCCCUAAUUAAAAUAUUAUUAUAUAUAGACGACAUUAGUAAAAUAUUUAUUUAAGUUCUUCAUUCAAACGUGAUCAAAGUUCUUGAUUCCAAUCAAUAUACGAUUAAAUGUUUCUAGGAUUUAUCAGGUUCUCGUUCUUGGUAAGUCAAUUACCAAUUUACUUUUCAAUAUCGUCUUCUAUUCACAGUGUUUCAAUUCAUUACUUCUCAAUCUUUCAUUGUUACAUGUUGUGUUCAAAAUAUAUCCUAUGAACAGUCGUUUUCAUAUUUAUAUUUGAAAUAUUGAUUUAUAAAAACAGACUGUACUUAGUAAAAACGGACUGCACGAAGUAACAACAGACUGUAUUAGAAAAAAACAGACUACAUUAGUAAUGUUUUUAAACUAAAAAUAUUUUAGUCUAUUCACAGACUGCAUGAAACAAAAGACGGACUGUAUAUAGAAAACGCGAAUAAAUUCAACAACAUAAAUUCAGUUGUACGCCGGGCCCGCCAGAAGCUUUGCAGCAUAAAAGUAGGCACAAGGGGAAUUUAUUUCCAGAUACACCAGCCCAAACUGGCCCAACAAUUGGAUAAUUCUUCAAAACAAUCCUGCUUUAUUUCACUAAAACUCAAGCCCACUCAGCCCCCUUCAUCAAAACGCUACUUCGGUUUCAACAGUGUUUGCCGCCGCCGCCGCCUACCCCCUUAAUCAAAACGUGCCCCAAAGUCGAUUAACCACAAUGUCGUCGUCGGAGCAGGACCCUUCGCCCCCAUCAGAGGAGCUAAAUUCACUAACCGUUGGCUCAUCCUCCGAAUCAAAUUCAUCCAUCUCCCAGUUAGGCUCUCCCUGACCCUCUUGCUUAGCCUUCUUUCCCCUGCAUUUGUGUGUCCAGUAUUUCUGCUUAUCUUUUAAUUGGUACUGUUCUUUUUUCUUCUUCUUCAUUUCAGGGGGUUGAGUCCAGAAGAGAAGUUUCGGAUAGUGAGAAGCGUAGGAGAAGAGUGUAUCCAAGAGGAUGAGCUCCUCAAUUUUCUCACGAAGAAACCCCAAAUAAUUUGCUAUGACGGGUUCGAGCCUUCGGGUGGAAUGAACAUUGCUCAGGUACUUGUUUAUUGUUUUGCCUUGGUUUAAUGGAUUGACUGUGGAGCGUAAUUCACAAAAUGGCGGAAAUAAGUAAGUGCCAUACAAUCAGUGAACCUUUUGGCCAACUCAACCCUACUGGGUUUAUUGAAGAUGAAGGAUCAAAUGAAGGAAGCAGCAGCAGCUGCUCAGGAAGAUGUUUACUGGACCAGCUGCAAGUGCUAACGGAGUGAGGAAGGAGGACUUCACUAAUGGCGUUAUGAAGUCAUUAGUCCGUUAAGUGAAUGUAUGAAGCGUUGCUUUGAAACGCUGCGUUUACGCUUAUCUAAUUUUACUGUUUUAGUUACCGUUGGUUAAACAGUGUAAUACCGAUUUUUACCGUUGAUGUUCAUAUAAAUAAGAAGCUGCUUCCAUGGCUGUUGAGUAAGCUUACUCACGCCAUUUCCAACCCUCUUCUCUCUGUUUUGAUAUGGUAUCAGAGCCCAUAAUCAUCGCAUACUAGCGAUGGUCGAUCUCACUUCACCGUCGUAGGGAUCUGGAGGUAGAGGACGAGGAUCGGUAGGAGUCACCUUCGGGAACUUCUCCAACGAAGAUGAAGAUGAAACUGACGAUACCCUCAACGUCAGUAGGAAUCCAUCGCCGAUCCAAUUUGGUAAUCCACUAUACCUGAACCCUAAUGAGAAUCUUUCUCAGUCCAUCUCGAAUGUCGUGCUUGAUGGGACGAAUUACCAGAUCUGGCAUCGAUCUUUGCGUUUUGCACUCAAGACAAAGCAUAAACUGGGUUUCGUUGAUGGCUCUAUAGAUAUACCCGAUACUAGUGAUAGUGGAUUCAUAUCUUGGGAUGCCUGUAAUACUCUUGUUUUGUGCUGGAUUCUUAAUACACUCGAUUCUGAGAUUAAAAGGAGUGUUAUGAAUCACGAGGUAGCUAAGAACUUAUGGGAUGAGCUGAGAACUCGAUUUGGAAUUGGAAAUGCCAUACGUCUGGCCAACUUGCAGGAUGAAAUCCACGCAUGUAAACAGGGAACUAGUAGCGUCUUUCAACAUUACACUACAAUAAAAGGACUAUGGGAGGAAUACUCACAGUUCUCACCCAUAGUUCCAUGCUCUUGUGCACCUGGAAAUCCUUUGCCAUGCCCAGCAGUUGUGGCAUUCCAGACUAAGCAAGAGACAGACUAUUUGAUUAGAUUUCUGAGAGGUCUCAAUGAUGAGUAUGAGGUUGUGAAGACUCAGUUGCUGAUGAUGCGCCCGCUGCCUAGUGUGAUUGAUGCUUUACAAUAAUGCACUACAACAUGAAGAAAAGUUGAAGGGUCAUCUUGGUGUGAAGAAGGGUGAAUCCAAUCCUGUGGCUUUUUUAGGGCCAAGGGAUGGGGGGAAGAAAUUUUGCAGAUAUUGCAAGAAGGACAAUCAUUUUAUUGAGGAUUGUCUCAAACUCAAGGCUAAGAAGAAGAAGGAGGCUGCAGAGGGUAGAUUUUUUGCCAAACCUGGUGCUGGAGGUCCUUUUGCAGGAUCUACAUCUCAAGGUGAGGAGGUUGAAUCAAAUGGAUCAUCUUCCAAGGAUUCCAGUGUAGUAGAGGCAACGGUGGGUUUCACCAGUGCUGAGAUGCAACAGUUGAAAUUGUUGUUGCAAUCCAGUGGAGGAAGUUCCUCAUCUCCUGGCAAUCCUCACCGUGCAUUUGCAGUCUCCCAACAUCAACCUGAAAGAUCCCACUAUGCAGGUACGUAUGCUCUAAAUUCUGUUUCCAAACCACAUGAUGAUAAUUACUGGAUUGUGGAUACUGGAGUUUCAGACCACAUUGCCUGCUCUCUUUUGCAUUUCAUUGAGUCUCAAGCUGUCACAAAUGUGUUUGUUUACCUGCCAAAUUCCACAAAAGUCUCUGUAGUCAUGUAGGCACUGUUCGUCUCUCAUCUAGCCUCACUCUCACACAUGUCCUUUGUGUCCCUAGUUUUGCUUUUAACCUGAUUUCUGUCAGCAAGUUGACCAGUGGCCACAAUAUUUCCUUGAUAUUUCAUUCUGAAUCUUGUUCCAUUCAGGACCAUACUUCCAUGACGACUCUUGGUUUGGCUAACCAGAUUCGAGGUCUGUAUCAGCUUCUUCCUUCUCAAGUCCCUUCUCAAGUCCCUUCUCAUAGUCCUACUGUGGCUACCUCUUACAAUUUCCAGCCCCAACCUAUCCAUUUGUGGCACUGGCGCCUUGGUCAUCCUAGCAGCUCUCGCAUUAAAUCUUUAGAUUCAUGUAAUGUUGAUUCUGUCAAAGAAACAAUAAAAUACUAUGAGACUUGUCAUUUUGCCAAACACAAGAGACUUCCUUUUAUGCCUAGUAGGAAACGAGCUAGUAAAGCCUUUGAGCUGAUUCAUGUUGACAUUUGGGGUCCUUUGUCUGUUAAAUCACAUGAUGGUUUUUCGUAUUUUCUUACUGUGGUGGAUGAUUAUUCCCGUGGAGUUUGGCUGUAUUUGCUGAAACACAAAUCUGAGGCGAGAAAUAGGUUGGAAGAUUUCUGCCAAUUUGUGAACAAUCAGUUUGAAUGUCCAGUUCGUGUCAUUCGUAGUGAUCAGGGUGCGGAGUUCCACAUGGUAGAAUACUAUGCCAAGCAUGGCAUCCUGCAUGAAAUGAGUUGUGUUGCCACUCCGGAGCAGAAUGCUCGAGUUGAAAGGAAACAUCAGGACAUUUUAAAUAUUGCGCGAGCAUUGAAGUUUCAGUCUUGUCUUUCCUUGUUCUUUUGGAGUGAUUUUGUAGUUCAUGCCGUUCAUCUGUUGAAUAGGCUGCCUAGUACAGCUAUUGACAACAAAACGCCCUAUGAAUUGCUCUAUGGUACUGCUCCCAGUCUUGAUCAUUUACGGGUUUUUGGAUGUCUUGCAUAUGCAGCCACACUGUCCCAUAACAAGACUAAGUUUCAGUCUAGGGCAAGACAAUGUGUUUUUCUUGGGUAUCCUAUUGGAAUUAAGGGUUACAAGCUCUAUGACCUUCACUCUCAUCAUUUCUUUGUUUCUAGAGAUGUCAGAUUCCAUGAAACUAUCCUACCUUUCCAUCCUACAUCUCUGGACCUUCCAACCUCUGUUGAGAUUCCAUCUGCAGAUUUUGAGGGAGGCCAAUCACCACAUCCUUCUCCUUUUCUUUCACCUACAUAUCCAGAAACACACUCUCAAUCCCCUAAAUUCACACUGGUGCCAUCACCUGUUAAAACCAAUACACCACCACCUUCUAAAUCCUAUGCAGAAAUACCACCAUCUCCACCUGACACUGAACCAGAAUUGCCUCUUGAGCCGGAACCAUUUGAUACUGAUUCAGAAUUAGACUCCAAUCUCCCUCCUGAACCAGAAUCAUAACCAAUGCCUAGACGUUCUAAUCAAAUCAAAUCCUUACCCACCUACCUUCAUGAUUUCUACCUUAAUGUUGCAUUUGUAUCUCAUUAUUCUAAACAUUCCAUUUCUAAAUAUAUCACUUAUGACAAUCUCUCUCCAGUAUAUAGAGCUUUUGCCCUUAAUAUCAUUACUCAAAAGGAACCUGAUACAUACUAUGAAGCUAUUAAAAACCCAUGUUGGGACCUUGCUACAAAGGAGGAGUUAGGAGCCUUGCAGGAGAAUCAGACUUGGGACAUUGUGCCUAAGCCCUUUGGACAGAAGGUUGUUGGUAGCAAGUGGGUAUUCAAGAUAAAAUAUAAACCUGGUGGGGCAGUAGAACGGUACAAAGCGAGGCUUGUAGCAAAAGGUUAUACUCAGACGUAUGGAAUUGAUUUUCUGGACACGUUUUCUCCUGUAGCAAAGAUAAACACUGGGAAGACUCUACUUGCAGUUGCAGCAGUGAAGAAUUGGGAAUUACAUGGAUGUGUUGAAUGCAUUUUUGCAUGGAGAUUUAGAGGAAGAUGUCUAUAUGGAGGUUCCGUUGGGAUUGAAGGCACCACCUGGAUCUGUUUGCAAGCUCAGAAGUCUCUGUAUGGACUCAAGGAAGCAAGCAGACAGUGGUUUGCUAAGUUGACUGCUGCCUUGCUACAGAAUGGCUUCACUCAGUCUGCUUCAGAUGCUCUUUUCCUCAAGCACACUGAGAGCAGUACUACAUCCCUUUUGUUCUAUGUAGAUGACAUCAUUCUUGCAGGAGAUGAUGUGAAGGAGCUAGGGAGAGUAAAAUCGUUCCUUAAAAUGCUGUUCAAAAAUUAAGGAUUUGGGAGAUUUGAAGUAUUUCCUUGGUCUGGAAGUUGCUCGUUCUGAUAAAGGGAUCACAGUUUCACAAAGGAAGUAUUGCUUUGAGUUGUUAAAGGAUACAUGAUAUCUUGAGGCUAAACCAUCACACACUCCCAUGGAGUUUAGCUCAAAGCUUCCAGCUAGUCAGGGGUCAGGUUAACAAACCAGAGGUAUAUAGAAGGCUGAUAGGGAGGCUACAUUAUCUGACCAUUACACGACCAGCUAUAGCCUUUCCCGUACAGCAGUUAAGCCAAUAUCAAUCACAACCUACUGAUGUGCAUCUACAAGCAGCGUACAGGGUGUUGCGAUAUCUUAAGUUGGCACCAGCACAAGGAUUGUUCUACUCACAUAAUGAUCUUGUGCUUUCUGGUUACAAUGACUCAGAUUGGGCGUCCUGUCUAGACACUCGACGCUCUGUCACUGGAUAUUGCAUGUUUUUAUGGAGUGCAGUCCUCACAUGGAAGUCAAAGAAGCAGAGCACUGUGUCCAGAUCCUCUUCAGAGGCUGAAUACAGGGCUCUUGCUCAUUUAUCAUGUGAGAUUGAUUGGUUGAAGCUACUGCUAUCAGAGUUAAGGGUGUUCAUUUCCACUCUAGUAGCGAUCUAUUGCGACAAUCGAUCGGCUAUACACAUAGCAGAAAACCCUGUCUUUCACGAAAGGACGAAGCAUAUUGAGAUUGAUUGUCACGUUGUCAGAGAUCGUGUGAAGUCUGGGUUGUUGAAGUUGUUUCAUGUUGGAAUUGAGUUUCAACCAGAUGAUUUUUUCACGAAGGGAAUGCAUCGUGUUCGACUAAGGUUCCUGAUCGCCAAGUUGGGAGUUAUUGAUAUAUACUCCUCAAAUUGUGGGGGCAUAUUGAAGAUGAAGGAUCAAAUGAAGGAAGUAGCAGCAGCUGCUCAGGAAGAUGUUUACUCAGGACCAGCUGCGAGUGCUAACAGAGUGAGGAAGGAGUACUUCACUAACGGCGUUAUGAAGUCAUUAGUCCGUUUAGUGAAUGUAUGAAGCGUUGCUUUAAAACGCAGCGUUUACGCUUAUCUAAUUUUACUGUUUUAGUUACCGUUGGUUAAAUAGUGUAAUACCGGUUUUUACCGUUGAUGUUCACAUAAAUAAGAAGCUGCUUCCAUGGCUGUUGAGUAAUUACUCACACCAUUUCCAACCCUCUUCUCUAUGUUUUGAUAGGGUUGUAGAUUUUGCAUUGUGAUGACUACUUGAGCAGAGGUAUAUCUUCCAUGAAUCAUGCGAUCUAUUCUUCUUUGAUAGGACUUUCACAAACUUUGAUGAUCUUGUUGCGGACUAUGAAAGUGGGGCGUUGCAUCCUUGUGAUCUGAAACUUGGUUUGUCAAAAGCAUUAAACAAGAUCCUGCAGGUAUAAAACAUACAUGGUUUCUUUUCUUGAGACUUGCCAUGUCUGAGUACUUUCUUGCUUUCUCGAGCCUGUUCGAGAUCACUUCAACCAUAAUGCCAGGGCCAAGGAUCUCUUAAAACGCGGCGAGGUAUAUCUUAUUUCCAUCAUUUGAUUUUAUCGCCAUCAUCCAUUUUUCAAAUAAUGUGUCAUGGACUUGUUGAAUGGAACAGGACUUUGGAAUUGUCGCUGAUGUACUUUCUUUGCUCUGCUCAAUCAUGCAGAGUUAUAAAGUUACAAGCUCAAUCAUCCAUGAAAUGAAAAUCAAACUCAUUAGUUCAACCACGAGAAACAGAAGGAAACAAAAACACAAACACAAACACAAGUUUUGGUUACGAUAAACAAAAAUCCUGAAACUGAUAGAGUUUGCUACUGCUCAUCCAUGUCUUACUCCGAAAAUGGUGGACGAUACUGAAAUGGUGCAGCUGGAGGGAAGUAUGGGAGAGUGAGCGCUGCUGCUUGUGAAAAGCGUAAUCCUGAUAGGUGUAAAGCGCAUCGAAGUGUUGAUCCACAUGAGUUUGUAAAUCACGCAUCUGUCUCGAAAUACUGGCGAUAGUCUUGCGCAAAUCCCGAUCCUGUCCAGUCUGACGAGCAGGCUAUCGACCUUGAGAAGAGCUCUCACCAGCAGUAGUCUCCUUCUCCUUCCCAAGAAGGCAAAAAUAAGCAAACAAGUUUUGAAUACCGACUGCCUUAAGGAGAGAACUAGUAAGGCGUGGCAGAGUAACUCAAGGAAUAGUGGAGAGAGCCCCAGAGUCAGUCAGGCACCUCAAACUCUUCACAAAGCGUGUGACGUAAGAUCCACCAAACAGCUGUUGUUCUUCUCUACGGAGCGAGGGCAUUGAGAAAUGAGCAAUUUGGCAGUUAAGGGUGCUGAAUGAACUCGCUCCUUCUUAUGUACGCCGUACAACACGAAGAGAUCGCGGGAGGUGCAGAUACCACUCGAGCUCUACUGCUGGAUGAGGGUGGCAUGGUGGAAAUGGUGUAGAAGUUGGAGCACUAAUUGCUCAAUUACUGUUGCUUUAGAUCUGCUAGAGCUGUAAUGGCUCGGUUUCCCGCUCUUCAAGGGCUGCGGAGACUCAUAAGGAGCAAUGUCAUGCCAAAACAGCUCAUAGUCCACACUAGUAGAACCAGAGUAAAUGCUCAAAGGUGGACUGAUAGUCAACUCAUCUUCGGUGUAGAAGCCGAAAUGGGUACCAAACUCAUCCAAGGACCAGGAAUAUGGGAUUCCUCCACAAUGUAACUUGAUUGCACUAGUUAGAGUAGGGUCAGUGAUCGUUUUGCACCUAAUAAUUGAGAUGACUUCCUUAGUCGCCCAUUCUUAAGUGUCCUCCUUCACAUCAAACAAAGGUUCAAGACUUGCAUCACGAACAACAGUCGACAACAACGACAGGUGACCCAUCCAGAUGUAGUGAUAGCUUUCCGUACUAUUUCCUCCCAAGCCUCCUUAUCUUUCUUAUCUGUGAAGGUAAAACACUUUGUUUUGACUGAGUUUGACAAACCUUGUACCCGAAAUGAGGUGGAGUGAAUCACACCACAACUUCGCUUACCAAGAGAUUCCAUCCUGUAGGAAAGAAAAGAAAACAAGAUAAUCCUUGGAGAUCCAAUCUUAAAUAAGACAAUGAAGACAUUCUCAAGAUGAGAUCAAUGACACACGUCUAGACACACAUCACAAACCAAAAUCAAACCAAAAGGCUCAAAUAAAUCAAAUGAGAUCACUCCACACUUAAGUAACAUCAUAUAGUGAAAAUGACCAAUCGUUAGGAAGAAAAGGAGGCUUGAGAAGAAAUAGCGCCUUUUAUGCUAUCACUACAUUCAGAUGAGUUGAUUUGGCUGAGUUGGAGGAAGCAAGGAUUGAGGAGUUGUUAUCGACUGCUGUUCGUGAUAUAGGUCUUGAACCUUUGUUUGAUGUGAACUAUUAGGUGCAAAACAACCACUAACCCUAUUGUAGCUGGUGCAAUUAAGUUACAUUGUGGAGGACUCUCAUAUUUCUGGUCCUUCAAUGAGUUUGGUAUUCAUCUCGACUUCUACACCGUAGAUUAGUUGAUUAUCAGUCCACCUUUGAGCGUUUACUUUGAUUCUACUAACAUAGAUCAAGAGCGGUUUUCACAUGACAUUGCUCCUUAUGAGUCUCUACAGCCCUUGAAGAGUGGGAGAUCGAGCCAAUACAGCUCUAGUAGAUCUAAAGCAACAGUAAUUGAGCAACCAGUGCUCCGACUUCUACACCAUUUCGUCCAUGCCACCCUCACCUAGCGGUAGAGCUCGGGUGGUAUCUGCACCUCCCGCGAUCUCUUCGUGUUGUACAACGUACAUAGGAAGGAGCGAGUUCAUUCGACACCCUUGGCUGCCAAAUUGCUCAUUUCUUAGCGCCCUCGCUCCGCGGAGAAGAACAAUAAGCUGUUUGGUGGAUCUUACAUUUUAAUUUACAUUAAUAUUUGUGACAAAUUUUGUUUCAAUGUAAGUUCGUUACCCGUCCCGUAAUGCGUUUUUAAUUAUGUUAAAUCAAGCUAAUGAAUAUAUACUGAUUAAUUUGUCAUUUGACAAAGAAUGUGAAAUUUCCUUAAUGAUAACCCUUUGAAAAUAUUAUAGCAACGUUAUUUGAAUUUCGUAUCCGCGACAAGAGUUUCCGAUUUUAAAGAAUUAUUAGUUAAUCAUUAGUGGGAAUAAAUCAAUAUCAAAAUUACAAAUCAUUAUAAAUCUUUAAUACUCCCCUAAAUUUUAUAAAUAAUAAUAACCGGAUUACCAAUCAAGAGGUUCGUAAGUAAGUACAUAAAAUGUGUGUUUCUAAUUCAUCGAUCAACGUGUUAGCACCAUCGGUUUCGGUAAAACAUGUAUCUCUAAUUCGUCGGUCAACGUAUCAGCACCAUCGGCUUAAAAAUACCAAAACACGAGGGUUUUCUUUCUAAAAAUUCCAACAUCAAAAUAACCAAAUAAAUGUUAUUAAUAAAAAAAGGAGCAUGAUUACGUGGUUUUUACAAUAGUAAAGAUUACGCAAAAUCCUGAAAUCAUCUUUUUCAAAGCGAACUACAUGCACUUUGAUCCCAAAAGAUUGGGUACGUAGGCAGUCGUAAGACUCGAGUUCAAACAAUUAAAUAAAAAAGUACUCAACUAAAAAUAUUUAUCAACAUGGAAUGAAAUUUCCACAAAAGUGGGAAUUUGUAAAUCCAAACAAUUAAAUAAAGAAUAUUCAAUUGAAAAUAUUCGUCAACAUCAAACGAACUUUCCACAAGAGUGGGAAUUCGUAAAGACUUAUAAUUUAAUAAAAAAUUCUCUAAAAAUUUACAUAAUCUUCCACAUCCAAACUAAAGUACAAUUAAGCCACUAAACAAAGAAUAUAAAACAUAACUUACCGAAUUUCGUAGUACCGGUUUACCGGGCGCUACGGGGGUGUUUAUCCUUUCCCACACGUAACCGCCUCCCGAAUCCAAAAGGUAUACACAACUCAAUCUAGACCCAAGAUCGAGAAGUCCAUGUCCUGCAUUUUCGGGGUGACAAGAAAUAAGCCGAAGGAUCAAUUCAAGUUGGGAGAACUAGUGAGUAUUUACCCAUUAGGUACUUACUAGGAUACAUCCACAACAAGAGUACGACAUAGGGGGCCGUUGAAGCAGAUAAUCGGGAUAUGAAUAGGAUAAUCAGGAAAUUAGAAAAGGGUAACCCAAAGCAUAGGGGGCCGUUGAAAGCAGGAGAGUUGAGAUCCAUCGAUUAGGGGCGCAGGUCGGAAUGCUUCGGCAAAAAGUUAGAAAGUGCGAGGAGCGAACCAGUUCACUAGAAAGAGAGGUAUAGGAACGAACGACAAAUGAAGAUGAUAUCCACAGAGUGAUGCAAGCUAUAGGAAGGAUGAAGAAAAUCAUUGAAAAAGGGCACGCUCUUUGGUAGCGAACGUCGAAUACCAUAUGGAGAUGAUCGAAGCCAUGGGAGAAGAAGGCGGGGAGACAACAACCUUCUUAAGCCACCUAUAUGAAGAGCUAGCUUCUUACGAAAACAUGUCCGGAAUCGGAGGUCAAAUAUAUGAGUUGUAGUUUGUACUUUUCUUUUGUGUAAUAAAUAAGCGAUCAACGUGUCAUGUUUUGGGUUGUAAAAGCGGUGUAGUAAUAAGCACUGCAGGCGUCUGUACUAUACUAGUAAGAGUGUGGUAUGUAGAAUGUUCUGAGCGUGUUAUACUAUGACCCCUUUUAUAAAGUAGUUGUUAUGUGUUGAUGAUACCGUCCAUGCAUCCAUCCAUGUUUUCAGAACUCAUACAUACCAUGUACCAUGAACAAAUCUUGGGUUUUUGUAAGUAUAAAAAAUGAGGAAACUGGUACGGCUUGUUCACCAGGAAAAUCUUUCGACAUUACUCACCAACUGACGGUAGUCCCGACACACCAGUAUUGGACUCGUCUUAAAGCUAUGAUCAUGAUUGAACAAACGCUGGAAAGUCUCCAAAAGAAGAUGGAAGAGAUAAAAGGACGGAUAGCUGGGUUUGAUGAAAUGAAGGAGAAGAUGAAGUUUCUCGUAAGGUUGAUGGCUGACAAAAGGAAGGUUAGAGAAGAUGAAGACCAGAAGGUCAAUUCGGAAGUUCCUUUUCUCGAGCCAACUGGUGAAGGCCAUUCAGAAAGGAGAGUCGUCAUGAUCGAUAAUGAACAAGAGAAAACUGAAAAAGAAACCGGAGAGACUAGUGGGAACGAUGUCCACACUAUGUUGGAGCACGUGAAACAUUUUGAGUUACACAAAGAUACGCCAUCCAAAGAAUGGCGAGAAUGCUUAGAAGAGAGAUUGUGGGCUGUAGAGGGUGUUGAUUCUUAUGGCACCCUCAAUGCAUUGUAGUUAUGUCUUGUGCCAGAUGUGGUGAUCCCCCACAAGUUUAAGAUACUAGACUUUGAGAAAUAUGACGGUACCACCUGCCCGAGGAGCCAUCUGGUAAUGUACUACAACAAGAUGGAAAACCACACAUAUGAUGAUAAGCUGAUGAUGCAUUGCUUCCAGUAUAGUUUAGGAGGCUCCGCUUUAAGGUGGUACAUGCAGCUCGAAAGAACAAAAGUCAGAAGGUUGCAGGAUGUUGCUGAUGCAUUCAUGAGGCAUUAUAAGCAUAAUCAAGUUCUGGCCCCAGAUAGGGAGGACUUGCAGAAUAUGGAGAAGAAAGAGAACACAUUGUUUUGCGAGUAUGCCCAUAGAUUGCGCAAAAAGGCCGUCUAGGUACAACUGCCUAUGUCAGAGAAGGAUCUAGUCUCGAUUUUUGUUGAGACUCUAAAGCCUCCCUUCUACAACAACAUGUUGGGAUAAUCACGACAAACUUCUCCAACAUGUUGCUAAUCGGAGAAAGAUUUUUGAAGGUGAUCAACCAUGGCAGAGUAGAUGUUCAUGAUCCUCUCAAGAAGCAUAAUACCACCCGUAAAAGGGAUGGGUUCGACUACCCACAAGCAACCAGGCACCGCCAUAUGUUGUUGCGGCCCUGUUAGUGGUGCAUAAUCAACCGUUCAGACCCCAACAAAGGGCGGCGCCCAAUCCUGCUAUUUAGCUGGGAGGAUACCACGGUAACCAACCUAUCCAUACCAUGGAGGCAGCCGGUUGGGGCUUCCGGGCAUAGCAAUUCAAACAAUAUAGGACACCGAAACUACUCGACCUCAUUCCGAUCUCGUAUACCGAGCUCUUCCCUUAGUUACUAAAAAGCAAGCAGAUCAUCCCAAUCCCACUGAAACCGUUGCAACGACCGUACCCCACCUGGUAUGACCCAGAAGUCCGAUGUGAGUAUCAUACCGGGGCACCUGACCUUGUGGUCGAAAACUGGAAGAGCUUCAAAUAUAGAGUACAAAAGCUAGUGAGGGCGGGGUGGAUGAAAUUUGAAGGCCAACCCAGCCGCUCGGUCGUAAAUAAGAAUCCGCUCCCUAACCAUGGAAAGCACAAUGUUGCUAUGGUCGAAAAGGAAGAAUCUUAUCGGGAGAAGCUAAAUGUUGCUGAGAUUAAAACAUCGCUGAAAUCCACGUGCAAGUUCCUCGUAGAUAGUGGCUACCUAAAAACCGCUGAGGGGCGAAGUAUUUCUACAUGGCUAGGGGACGGGUGUUUAUACCAUAGCGGUAAUUCUGACCAUACUAUGGAUGAUUGUGGGUCUUUCAAAGAAAAAGCUGUAGGCACUCAUGGACCCCAAACUGGUAACUUUCAACUCAGAAGUCGAAGGAGCAGCUAACAUUUACAUGGCGUCACUAGAAAGUCCAGAAUUUGACUUUCCUAAGCUUGUGAUUCACUACCAUGCCACCGCAAGACCACCGCCAACGCCUUCGGAAGUAACACCAUUGGUUAUAAGGGUCCCGAGGCCUUUCGAGUAUAAAAGCUCCAAAUCUGUCCCGUGGGAAUAUGCGUGUCAAGCUCGCGAUGAAGGCAAUGCUGACUCUCCGGCUAUAACUAAUAUAACCGGGUAAAGUCAUAUCACAAGGAGUGGAAGGCAUUAUGGUGUGCCUGAUGGCCUAGAUGAGACGGAAAGUGUUAGAAUAGCAUAAAUAAGGCAAGGGAAGAGAGUGUAUUCCGAAAUCGCAGAACCGAAUAUCGUUCCUCCUCGAGAUAAACAUGAGGGGAGGAAGGAGGGAUGAAGAUUAUGGACCAAGAUUUAGUGAUGAAGAUGCAUGUGAGUUCCUGAAGCUUGUAAGGCAUAGUAAGUUCAAAGUAAUAGAGCAGUUUAACCGCACCCCGGCGAGGAUUUGACUCCUGUCCCUGAUUUUAACCUCUGAGCCCCUUCGACGAGCCCUCAUAAAACUGUUGAACGAAGCGCACGUCGGCCACAAUGUCUCGGUAGGGCGUUUUGAUGGUAUAGUCAGAGCGGUUUUGGCGAAUAGGAAAAUCAUUUUUGACGAAGAAGAGAUACCUUUUGAAGGAAUGGAUCACACUAUGGCACUGCACAUAUAUGUAAAGUGUAAGGAUUUCAUGAUAGCCCGAUGCCUGGUUGACAAUGGUUUGUCACUGAAUGUUAUGCCAAAAUCCACCCUAAACAAGCUACAGAUUGAUGACUCAUACCUUAAGCCAAGCUUCAUAGUGGUUAGGGCUUUUGAUGUCACAAAGCGCAAAGUCAUAGGGGAAAUCUCACUAUCCAUUUUGGUGGAACCCAAGGUCUUCCAAGUGAUUUCUACGUAGUGGACAUAAACCCUGCAUACAGCCUGUUGCUAGCACGCUAGUGACUCCGCACAGCGGGUGUAGUGCCAUCAUCCCUACACCAAAAAUUGAGGUUCGCAAUCGAUGGGAAGCUCAUUGAAGUGUUCGGAGAGGAUGAUACGCUGGUAACUAGACCUUCAAACGCACCUUACAUUGAAGCCAUAGAGGAAGCCCUAGAAAGCGCAUUCUUGACCUUUGAGAUUGAGAACGUUGCAUACGUAGAGCAUAGUGCGGAUCACAAAGCCCAAGUCUCCCAAGCGACUUUGAAAUCAGCAAAAUGCGUGGUUAAGGACCUCCACUACUCAAAAUGGUAGGAGGUGCUGAAAGAACCUAUCCAGGUCAAAGAAAACAAGAACAGUGCAAGAUUGGGAUACAUUCUGAAGGGUGAUGCUAUAAGGAGGAUCCAAAGGGAACAGAAAAGGAUGAGGAUCUCAAGGUUAAGUGGGACAGAAGAUGAUGAAGGCUUGACCUUCAUACCUCACAUCACAAGGACAGUCAGGAGCGUUGGAAAGAUAAAUGUGAGGAAAACUACACCGAUCCGACCACCAAAGUGUUACAGUCAGAUUUUGCAAAUCUCUCCAUCAGCAUGCUGGGUACUGGAAUUACGACCGGAAUAGAAUCGGUGCACCUGUUCUGUCCGGAGGAAGAGCUAAGAAAUUGGGUGUCUAUGGAGUUACCUUCGCCAUCGCAGAUGUAAUAACUCUAAAAUAUAACUACUAAAUAAAAGAAGCGAGGGCCUCCUAGUGUUUUUGAGUGAUCUUGAAUGCAUGUAUCGUAUUUUCCCAAGUUUAAUAAAACAUCUUUUUCAUAAGUCUCAAUAUGUGCAUCAUCCAUAUUAUUGACUUUCAUUUUCCUUCUUUUUCCCUUUUCUAUUCCCCCUCACGUAACAGGGUUACAUAUGUGUUUGAAAAUAAUGAAGAGUUUUGAAACACUAAAGUUGACUUUGACCGCCCAGUUUAUGAGGUGGAAACCGAGGAUGGCAGUGAUGGUUCUGACCUAGAAAUAGAUUGGUUGGCAGAACAAGAAGAGCGAUCCUUGGAACCUUUCUACGAGUCGGCAGAGAUCAUGAAUUUGGGAAUAGAAGAGAAUCGACAAGAGGUAAAGAAUCGGUGAGAGGCCUUUUUAUUAAAAUGAAACGUUCACUGAAUCAGUCACAAUGAACAAUAGAUUGGAGGGUAGUUUAGGGGGGUAAAAGCACAACAAUGUGUAUGAAUGGAUGGUAUAUGAAUGUUUACUAAUAGGAAUGUUUGAAUGAUAACCUUUAAAUCAAAGCUUAUUUUUUUGUCGUGUCUCAAGUGGCGGCUCUUUGCGAGUGACGAAAUUUUUAGCAUAUAGUCUUAGUGGUUUUUCUUUGUAAUGUAUUGUAAUAACUUUUUUUGGGACUUUUUUGACUUGUGUGUUUUUUAGGGGAUUUUGGGGGUAGAGUUUUGGGGAAGGGUACUCUCUAAUCUCCUCCUCCUCUUCUCUUGACUUUCCAUUUAAAUUAAGAAAAUGGGCUGCCACCUCCCCUUUUCUUCAAUCAAAUUUUGCAACGUUUCUGAAAAAAAACAAGAGGUUGCAACCCCUUAAUUAAUAAUAGUAACGAGCCAAAAAUUAGGCCUAAAAUCGGGCCCGAAAAGCAUUGGCAGUUUGACGUAGAAUAGAGCUACGAAACUAAAAAUUUGAAAGCCUGGGCAAAUUUGGUUACUACAGUUUCCCCUCUUUGUCCUACUUUUGUUUAUAACAAAAGGUAGUACAAAGAUAGGAACUAAAUUUUGAAAGGUUCGCCGAAUCUAUCCUCACGUUUGUUUCUUUUGUUUAUGUUUUGUUAAUGUUUUUUUUGUUUAUCAUUUUUAUAUGGAGUAGUAAUAACACGAUACUAUGAAUAAAGUCUAUUAAUGAAUAUAUGGUUUGAUCGUCCUAUGACACUAGGGGUGAUUGUACUAGGGACUCAGUUUGACUUAUCUCCCGUUCGAGGGUGCCAUACGUUUAACCCAGGGUGCUAAGGUGAAUGUACUAGGGACUCAGCUUGACUUAUUUCCCAUUCUUAAGGUGUGAUCCUCUUGCCCCAUGAUGAUAAUGGUGAAUGUACUAGGGAUUCAACUUGACUUAUUUUUCCGUUCCAAGGUGCAAUAUGCUUUCCCCAAAGAUGCUAAGGGUUGAUUCUACUAGGGAUUCAGCUUGACUUACUUCCCGUUCUAAGGAGCGAUCAGCUUGUCCCAAGAUGCUAAGGGUUGAUGUACUAGGGAUUCAACUUGACUUAUUUCUCGUUCUAAGGCUACAAAUGUGUUGAUGAUGAAUGGUUUUUGCAAGAUUUUGAAUAAGGCUCCCCUUUUUAUGAAAAAUAUGCAUGUGAUGGUGUGAUAUUUCAUUUUUUUUGAGGAAAUUGACUGUUUUGUAAAAAACAUCUUGUCAAGUACUAGAAACUGUGCUUUGUUCACAGAUCCUCCCAGGACCGCUCGUUGCAACAAGACACUACUUUCGUGAUGAUAAACAUUACGGUGGGAUUUUCUAAGGUAAAUGUUGAUUGGACAAUCUGAGCUUGAUAUAAUAAUUUCGCUAGUUUCAACCAUCGCUCCCUUUUGCUUAGAACGUGCCCCACUUAUACAUGGUUGAUCCAUCUUGAGCGUUCAUGAUUCUUAAUUCCAAGAGCCGACUUGCCGCUUCGUUUGCGCUACAUGCUAGUGCAAUUGUGUAAGUCUGCUGAUAAUUAGGUAACCUUAUCGUACGCACUCCUAUUCCUUCGUUUUUCCUCCUACCGUCUUCAUAUUAUGAUCAGACCCCGUGAUCUUGAGGAUCUCCUUCCUACUUUGUCUCUACUUCUGGAUAUGAUGGCAAGACAACAUCGACCCUCGUUAAUUGUUUUCUGGGGUUAAGAGUAAGUGGAGUAAACCUACCAUUUGGGUUUCUUUUCUUUAGCCUCUCUUUAACUCUUUCGUUCUUUCAAUAAUUUUUAUUAUUAUUACUACCAUUUUUUCCUCCUUUUUUGUCUUUUUCUACUUUACUAAUACUUUUGUUUGGAAAGACCUCCUAAUGAUUAAUUAGAGCGAAAGUGUCUGCAUGAAUGCAUUUGCACCAAGUUAAUUUGGAGUAUCGUGCGUCGUCCAUUCUAUUUGGUGGCGGGUGCACAACAGUUAGGAGAAUAGUAUUUGAGAAUUCAUGACAUAUCCAAAACGUAAAGUUGACGUAAACCCUCACUUUAUUGAUGGAAAACCGACCUCGUACUUGUUCACUGAAUUAGAGUUAACUGGGUAAGGGAGCUCAUCUCCAUCCAUAUUUGUUAAUAUCAAAGCCCCACCUGAGAAAGCCCUCUUCACUACAUAAGGCCCUUCAUAGUUCGACGUCCAAUUUCCUCUUGGGACCCCUUGUCGAAUGGAAAUCGUCUUUGUUACCAACUCUCCCUCGUUGAAUACCUACGGUUUCAUUCUUUUGUUAAAAUCUCUAAUCAAUAUGCACUGAUACAAAUGCCCGUGGUGGAUAGCUGUCAACCUUUUCUCAUCAAUUAAAUUUAACCCAUUAUACCGCGCUUUUACCCACUUAGCUGCUACCAACUUCGGUUUGAUGAUAACCCUUAGUGAAGACAUUUCUACCACUAUGGGAAGACUGCCUCCAUCCCAUAGACCAAUUGGUAAGGCGUCAAUCCCGUUGAGAUUCUUACUGACGUUCGCUAACCAUGCAGGGUAAACGGUAGCAUUUUGUGCCAAUUGCGGUAGGUAACGACCAUUUUCUUGUUGUUGAGAUUUUUCGGGUUGUCGGUUAUUAUUCUUUCCGAGAGCCCAUACCGGUAAAUGAUUUCCUUUGUUAUGAACUUUGUGACGACGCUUUUGGUGAUAUUUUCCUAUGAUACAGCCUAUAACGGUGCCCAUUCGAUGCUUUUGGUUCAAUCAUGCCUAUAACGUCUAUCCCCCAUGUUGCAAAAGGUCAAGGCGAUGCCAUAACAUGCAACGAUGAUGGAGGCACAUGCUUUUCAUCGGCAUAGACCUGGCACUUUUGGAAUUUUCUCACGUAUUUUACACGGUUAGAGUCCAUCUUCGUCCAAUAGUUAUCCAUCCUUAUUAUCUUCUUAGCUAACGUGUAACCACCGGCAAGCGUGCCGCAGACUCCCUCAUGGACUUCUUUUAUGAUUCUCUGCGCUUCAGGGGCGGUCACACAUCUUAGCAGCAUUGAGUUGUGGCGUACUUUGUAGAGGGUAGUCUCAUCAUCAUACUAACCCAUCGCCAAUCUUCGUAAGGUCCUUUGAUCAUUCUCAAAUGCCCCAGCUAGGUACAUCAUUUUUUGUAGGUAGGUCCUUAUGUCAAUAUACUAGAGAUUCCCAUCAUGCUCUUCUUCAAAACUAGCUAUGUAGGUAAGUGCAUUUUUCUUUUUGAUUUUCAUUCAUGGGUUAACCUCAGUCUCGUCCAGUUCGUACAUCGAGGAAAAUGUGGCGAGAACAUCCGCUAUUUGAUUGUCGAAUCGCGAGAUGUGCUCAAACAGUAUCAACUCGAAUUUCGCUGCCAUUUCUCCUAUGUAUUUCUGGUAUGGUGCGAGCUUAUGAUCCCUAGUUUCCCAUUCUUCCUUUAACUGGUAGAUUACUAGCGCUGAAUCACCAUAUACCUUCAAAUUCUUAAUGCCCAUUCCAAGUGUAGCUCAAAACUCGAAAGCGCACGCUUCGUACUCCGCUAUGUUAUUGGUGCAGUCAAAGCAAAUUUUGGCAGUGAUAGGACACACACUACCUUUGGGAGAGACGAACACGACCUCCACCCCCUGUCCCAAUGAGUUUGAGGCCCCGUCAAACUUCGUCACCCAUGUUUUUUUGGACCAAGCCCUCCUCGGAUUUCUCGAUGUUCAUUAUACUUUUAUCCGGAAAGUCCAUCAACAUCGGAUUCGGGUCCAAGAUCGCAUGCUCUACAGAUGAUCUGCCACUACACUCCCUUAAAUAGCCUUCCUCGGUGUAUAAACAAUGUCGUACUCUGCCAGCAGCACUUGCCAUCGGGCUAUCUACCCGGAGAGGGCCGGCUUUUCGAAGACAUACUUGAUAGGGUCCAUUUUGGAUAUUAAGAGCAUCGUGUGAUAUAGCAUGUGCUAUCUUAGCCUUUUGGCUGCCCAUGCAAGCGCUCCGCAAGUUUUCUCGAGCGAUGUAUAUCGAGAUUCGUAGUAAGUGAAAUUCUUGCCGGCGUAGUAUAUGGUGUGCUCUUUCCUUCAUGAUUCAUCGUUAUGAGCCAACAUCGCGCCUACAAAAUUUUCAAAUACCGUCAAGUACGAUAUUAGCGUCCUUCCUGAAGUUGGUGGGACCAGAACCGGAGGGUUUAAUAAACACCCUUUGAAUUUCUGAAAGGCUCUAUCAUAACUUUCAUCUCAUUUGACAUGUCGUUUCUUCUUUAGAAGUUUGAGAAUGGGUUCACACGUCAGAGUCAAAUGCGAUAUGAACAGACUAAUGUAGUUCAAGCGUCCCAAGAAUCCCCGCACCUCUUUUUGUGUUUGGGGAGGAGGCAUGUCAACUAUAGCCUUCACUUCGCCAGGGUCCACAUCAAUCCCCUUUUGGCUAACCAUGAAACCGAGCAGCUUUCCCGAGGUGACUCCGAACGUACACUUUUCUGGAUUCAGUCAGAGCUGGUACUUCCUGAGUCGCUCGAACUAUUUUCGUAGCAUGACUACGUGGUUGUCUUCCUUUUUUGACUUUGCUAUAAUGUCAUCCACAUAUACCUCUAUUUCUUUGUGUAUCAUGUCAUGGAAUAGUGUGAUCAUGGCUCGUUGAUAGGUUUCCCCAGCGUUCUUUAGUCCAAAAGACAUAACCUUAUAGCAAAAGGUUCCGCAUAAAGUGAUGAAGUUGGUUAUUUCCUGAUCCUCCGGAAACAUCUUGAUCUAGUUGUAUCUUGAGAAACCGUCCAUGAAAGAGAACAUAUGGUGAUUGGCGGUAUUAUCGACGAGAACAUCUAUGUGAGGCAAUGGAAAGUUGUCCUUUGGGCUUGCCCUAUUUAAAUUUCUAUAGUCUACACACAUUCUCACUUUCCCAUUCUUAUUAGGCACGAGGACUAUAUUAGAGACCUAAUCGGUGUAUUAUGCCACGUGCAAGAACCCAACUUCGUAUUGUUUCUGCACCUCAUCCUUAAUUUUCAGUAUCCAUUCCGGUUUCAUCCAUAGUAACUUUUACAUUACUGGCUUGCACUACUCCCUUAUUGGCAAGUGAUGUGUUACUAUUUCUUCAUCUAGGCCUGGCAUACCUGAUAAGACCAUGCAUAAGCAUCCUGGAAGUUCUGGAGUAGUUCGACGAGCCUAUCCUUUUCUGCCGAUUUUCCUCUGUUCCCAAAUUCACAAUCUCUAUUGACUCGUAGAAAGGUUCCAAGGAUCGCUCUUCCUGUUUUGACAACAAAUUUGUUUUUAGGUCCGAACCAUCACUGCCUUUCUCGGUUUCCAUCUCAUAAACUGGGCGGCCAAAGUCAAAUUUAGUGCUUCGAAACUCUUCAUUGUUUUCAAACGCAUCUGUAACCCUCUUACACGAGGGGAAAUAGAAAAGGAAAAAGAAGAAAAAUAGAAGUGAAUAAUAUGGACGAUGCAUGGAUUGAGACUUAUGAAAAUGAUGCUUUAUUAAACUCGGGAAAAUACGAUACAUGCAUCCAGGAUCACUUAAAAAACACUAGGAGGUCCUCGCUUCCUUUAUUUAGUAGUCAUUUUUUUAAGAUAUUACAUCUGCGAUGGUGAAGGUAACUCUAAAAAUACCCAAUUGCUCAGCUCUUCCUCCGGACCGAGCUAACACACCCUUUCUAUUCCGGUCAUAAUUCCUGUACGCUGAUGGAGGGAUCUGCAAAAUCCAACAGUAACCCUUCGGAGGUCGGAUCAGUGUAGUUUUUCCUCACAUUUAUCUUUCCAUCACUCAUGAAUGUGCUUGUGAUGUGAGGUAUGAAGGUCAAGCCUUCAUCAUCUUCUGUCCCACUAAACCUGGAAAUCCUCCUCCUUCUCGGUUCCCUUUUGAUUUUCCCUAUAUCAUCACCAUUCGAAAUGUAUCUGAAUCUCGCACGGUUCUUGUUUUCUUUGACCUGGAUGGGUUCUUUCAGCACCCCUUCCAUUCUGAGUAGUGGAGGCCCUUAACCAGGCACUUUGCUGAUGUCAGAGCCGCUUGGGAGAUGUGGGCUUUGUGAGCCGUACUACGCCCUACGUAUGCGACGUCCUCUAUCGCGAAGGUCUAGCAUGCGCUUUCUAAGGCUUCCUCUUCGGCUUCAAUGAAGGGUGCGUUCGAAGCUCUAGUUACCAACGUAUCUUCCUCUCUGAACACUUCAAUGACCUUCCCAUCGAUUCCAAAUUUCAUUUUUUGGCGUAGGGAUGAUGACACUACACCCGUUGUGUGGCUCCACGGGCAUCCCAGCAACAGGCUGUAUGCAGGGGUUAUGUCCAUUACAUGGAAAUCCACUUGGAAGACCUUACCCGCCUGAAUGGGUAGCUAGAUUUCCCCUAUGACCUUGUGCUUCGUGCCAUUAAAAGCCCUAACUACUAUGAAGCUUGGCUUAAGGUAGGAGUCAUCAAUCGGCAGCUUGUUUACGGUGGAUUUUGGCAUAACAUUCAGUGACGCACCGGUGUCAACCAGGCAUUUGGCUAUCAUGAAAUCCGUACACUUUAUAGAGAUGUGCAGUGCCUUAGUGUGGCCCAUUCCUUCAUAAGGUAUCUCAUUUUCGUCAAAAGUGAUUUUCGCGUCUGCCAAAACCGCUCUGACUAUCCCAUCAAAACGCUCCACCGAGACAUCAUGGCAGACGUGCGCUUGGUUUAACACUUUUAUGAGGGCUCGUCGAUGGGGCUCAGAGGUUAACAUCACGGACAGGAGUGCAAUCUUCACAGGGGUGCGGUUAAGCUGCUCUACUACUUUGAACUCACUAUUACAAGUUUCAGGAACUGACAUGCAUGUUCAUCACUAACUUUUAGUUCAUAAUUUUCAUCUUCUUUCCGCCCCUCACAUUCAUUCUGAGGAGGAACACUAUCUGGUUCAGCGAAUUCGGAAUACGCUCUUUUUCCUUCCUUUAUUUCUGCCCCUCUAACCCUUUCCAUCUCGCCUAGGUCAUGAGGCACGCCAUAGUGUAUUCCGCUCCUUGUGAUCUAACUCAAACCGGUUAUAUCGGUUAUAGUUCGAGAGUCUGCAUCAACCUUAUCUUCAGCUUGACACGCAUACUCCUACAGGACGGCCUUGGAGCUUUUAUAUUCAAAAGGUCUUGGGACCCUUAUAACCAAUGGCCUCACUUCCGAAGACGAUGGUGGCGGUCUUGUAGUGGCCUAAUACUGAAUCACUAGUUUGGGGAAGUCAAAUUCUAGACUUUUAGGCGAUGCCAUGCAAAUGUCAGCUACUCCUUCGACCCUUGAGUAGAAAGUAACCAGUUUGGAGUCCAUGGGCGCCUGCAAUUUCUUAUUGAAAGUCCCACAAUCAUCCAUAGUAUGGUCAGAAUUUCCAUCAUGGUAUAAACAUUUGUCCCCUAACCUUGCAGAAAAACUUUGCCCCUCGGCAGUUUUUAGGUAACCACCGUCUAUGAGCAGAUUGCAUGCGUACUUCAGCGGUGUUUUAAUCUCAGCAACACCCAGCAUCUCCAGAUAAGUAUCUUCUUUUUCGAUCACAGCAACAUUGUGCCCCUCGUGGUUAGGGAGCGGAUUCUUAUUGACAUCGGGGCGGCUGGGAUGACCGUCGAAUUUCAGCCACCCUGCCCUUACUAGCUGAUGUACUCUAUAUUUGAAGCUCUUGCCGUUUUCGAUCGCGUGACCAGGUGCCCCCGCAUGAUACUCGCACCGGACUUCUAGGUCGUACCAGAUGGGGUAUGGUGGUUGCAAUGGUUUUAGUGGGACUGGAACGAUUUUCUUGCUUUUUAAUAAACUGAGGGAAGUGCUUGGUAUACGAAUUGGGAUGGGGUCGAGUGGUUCUGACGUCCUGUAGUUGUUAGAACUGCUCUGCCCAUAAGUUUCAACCAGCUGGCCUCCAUGGUAUGGCCUGGGUUGAUUCCCUUGAUACCCUCCCAGCUGAAUAACAAGAUUGGGCACCUUCCUUUGCUGAGGCGUAAACGGUUGAUUAUGAGCCAUUGGCUGGGCCGCAACUACAUACGGUGAUUCCUGAUUUCCUGUGGGCAGUCUAACCCAUCCUCCAGUGCUUGGGGCUUCACCUUGUGUGGCAUUGACUUCUUCCCUUUUACGGGCGGUAUUAUGCUUCUUAAGUGGAUCAUGACCAUCCACUCUGCCAUGCUUGAUCCCCUUCUCAAUUCUUUCUCCGAUUAGCAACAUGUUGGAGAAGUUUGUCGUGAUUAUCCCCAACAUGUUAUUGUAGAAGGGGGGCUUAAGAGUCUCAAAGAAUAUUGAGACUAGCUCCUUCUCUAACAUAGGUGGCUGCACCUCGGCUGCUUUUUCACGUCACAUGUGGGCAUACUCUCUAUUCGAUCUGUUUUUUCUCCAUAUUCCUCAAGUCCUCCCUAUCUGGGGCCAUAUCCUGAUUAUGCUUAUAAUGUCUCAUGAAAGCAUCAGCAAGAUCCUGUCGCCUCCUGACUCUUGUUCUUUCAAGCAGCAUGUACCACCUCAAAGCUGAGCCUCUCAAGCUAUUCUGGAAGCAAUGCAUCUAUGCCAUUGAUUGUGAAGCAGUGAAACUGUGGAUGCCAAUAAUUGAGGAGUUCUCGCAUCAUAAUUCCUUGGAACAGGGUGUUGAUCAGAUCGAACAGACAUCCUUAUUUCUCACCAAAUAACACUUUCUCUUCAUCGGUAAACAUUGACCAUGUGCCCCUUAACACAUUGGUUUAGUGCACCGGUAUCCGAAUCGGACAGUUUGGCAGGUUUGGGGUGAGGGUAUGGAACGAUGGUUCUCGCCGUUCGCUUCAUGUUGUCGCUUUGCCAACCACAUAACGUACUCUUCCUCAUUAACAGUGUCUAUGAAGCUUUCUAUACUUUCCAAGAUGAACCUACGCUAUAAAACAGGUGCUUUGUGAUUAUGAUACCUAAAACAUUGACCAAUUUCAUGCCCGAUUUCGGGGCCAUUUCUGGCCCGACUAGUUGACCGCGAAACAGAAAUUUGGUUGUCGGUAUCGAAAAAUCAAAGAAGGAAGGAGGAGAGAAUUAGUGAAUGUGUGAGAAAUGAAGGAAGGAGGAGGGGUUAUUUAUAACAGCCGGAGGAGGUCACCUAGAACGGGCCGCGCAUCCUAGGUGCUGGUAAUGGCCAAAUUGUGUAAUUUACAUUUCAACUUAAUUAUCUAUGUAAUUUUCGAUUUAAUUUUUUCUAAAACAAUUUCCCGUUGAACCAAACUGUUAAAAUAUAUAUUUAAUUUUGAGGAAAGGUAUUAUAAUUAAUAACUUUGUAACCAACAAAAUAAAUAAAACAAAUCUAAUUUAACAUGGGAACCUGAUCAAAUCAAAACAUCAUGAGACAAAUUUUAUAUUUAUUCUUAAGGAAGACUUUCUGAAGACGUAAUUUCUACCAAUUUUAAAGACAGUACUGAACUAUAAAUAAUCCCAAUCAUGACUUAUGUUGGUCAAUUUAGUCAUCACUCAUAGAUGCCUCAAUAUCGAGGGUGUUCAUGAUUUCCUCCAACUCUUCCAUCAGUUUUGCAUGUUUAGCUGCAUAAGAAUUCUAAAAUGAAUCAAUUAGAAUCCUUUUUUUAUAAUUCGAAUUAUUCGAACUAAACGAUCAUCGACAACAAUACCUUCUUCUUCAAUGUACGUUCUUUUAAGUUUUGCUAUANUAAGUUUUGCUAUAUGCUGGAUCAAUGCUUCUUUUUCCUUCUUCAGAUAUUUCAUAUUCUUCAUCUCAUACGCUUCCACUCUUGAAAUUAUUUCAAAGCUCUUUUCCUACAAGAAGAAUAUCAUCAUCUUCAAAAUAUACACCCAUAAGAGAAUGGUGAACAAGAUCCAUAUUGUAAUAUACCACUUCAAUAUCUAUCAUCAACUUGAGCGAAAACAUCUCUUCUAUCUUCUUUCGUCGAAAAUUAUGAAUAUAUGUCCGGUCCAACAUAAUUCUACAUGACGAUCAAAGACAAAAAUCAUAAUUUCAUAAAUUGAUGUAAAAAAAUGAUAUAAGAUUCAUAAUUAAUCAUUUUUCGACAACUUAAAUUAUUAAGAUGUAUAAACGAUUUUGCACAAGUCACAUCAAAAUCAAUAAAACUUGGAUCUUGAAAAUGGACCUUCUUUGGGCGGAGGAAUCAGUGUUGGUUUUUUCAUAAUUAUGUCUCUGCUUCUUCAACGGGGCAGAUGGUGCACCAUCAAUUGAGAUGAAACCUCUUUUCUUAUUAGGGAUUUCUAUGACAUCAAUUUUUUUCGCAAAGAGAGAGUCAGAUCGAGCCGAUGAGUCUACCAUUAUGGAUGAAUAUCGAAUAUUGCAGUAGGAGAUGAUGAGGAUGAGGAUGAUGGUGAUUAUGAGAAUAGGAAGGAAGAUGAAUAGAUACAUCAUCUUCUUGGGUUUUUACUCUGAAGAAUAGUGAUGAAAUGAGUUUUUGAGUGAAGGUAUAUAAAGACUUAAUUUGUGGACAUAUCAAGAUUUUAAUGACAACAUAUUAAAUGAGAGCAUCAAAUUAAGUAAUGCAAAUCUACUUUAAAGUAUAUAUAUGAAUGGUAAGUUAAUUGUCUACCUUCCUUAAUCAUUUGCAUGCCUUACAUGAGAAAAUAAGAGAUGCAACAUUAAUAAAUUUAAAGAUUAUCUUAAAAAUUGACAUGAAAUAUAUUUGUUGAUCGCUCUAAUCGAUCGAAUUUAAGGAUGGAAAUCCAUGUUAAUAUAUAAUAUUACUAGGAAUUGCAUACCGAGUUACAAACCAUUAUAAUAAGUUAGCGAAGAGUAUACACAUCAUAAAAUCAAAUGACUAAGUCACUGUGGAUUCUUAAUAUGCACUCUUAAUUCUCGUAUCUUAAUGAGCCAGUGUUGAAAUUUUCGAUCAAUCAUUUUUUUCAUAAAGAAAAGUGUUAAAAAAAGUAAAAUUGAGAAUCUGAUCAACAUUUUUAUUUUAUGAAAAUUCCAUUUUUAAUAUUGGAUAAUUAAAAAUUAUUUUGUACACGUAUUAAAGUUUUCAUUUGAGAUAGUUAAUUUAAAGUUUAGUGAUCGGUAAGUUUAAAAUAAAAAAUUUACUGUCCAUUAAACUUUAUAACUAUCAAAUUAUGUCAAACAUAGUAAAAUUUAUGUUACACGAGAGAUCCAAGGUGUACAAUUCAUCUGACAUGAACAAAAUCCAAAUAUAAAAACUCAAACCGGGCACAAGCACAAUCCACACACAAAAUAACACACCAAAGAAUUACAGAUACAAGGGAAAGGUUUCUCGUCUCACUGUGAUACAAGAAAUCUAUUUCGAUCGAAUAUAUGUUUGUCCGGACCAUUUCAAUUAACGACGCGACAGUUGUUCCUGACCUCUCCAGCACUCCCAGUAACAACCUGAAGAUUUCCCAUCUUGACCAUCGACGUCGCAAAAUCCGCCGCGAACUUCGUCGGAUUACUACUGUAGGUCAUCACAAGCUUGUCGCUGGCACUGUUCCCAGUUCCAAACAGUUCCUGGUCGGAGUGUAGAAGGCCUCUGUUCCGGACAAGAUCACUGUAGUAGUCGGUAUUGAACUGGGCCGGAGUCGAAUCAAGCGGCUUGAGGUUGUUGUCGCCACCGGUAGGAGGGCAGGACCUCUGUAAGGAAGCGGCCAAUCUAGGUUGGAUGUUGGUGUCGUUGUAGAUGUGGGCGCGAAAAGUGGUGCAGCGAGCUAGCCCGAUGGUAUGGCCUCCGGAGAGCGCGACUAGGUCGGUGAGGUCGAGGCCUUGGGCUUGGAAGCUGGAGAUGAGUUGUGAGAAGCUAUAGAACGGCGGUGGGAGGUUGUUGUUUGCGGCGGAGAUGCUGGCUGUCUUGGCGUCUCUUCUUCCUACUAGGACUUGGUACCAGAAUUGUGGGCCACCCAACUAUAUAACAUGAUUAACAUUCAAAGUAAUUAAAACAAAUGACUGUGGCUCGAUUUUUGUAGUGAAAGUUGGAUCGAAUUUUAAAUAUUAUUUUACUCAGACAACAGGAUGUUAGAUCCCGAUAGUGAUUUUAGAGAAUGAAGGUUACUGUUUCCAUCUGUGGUGGAGCCACUUUGUUGGUUGGGGUUGGGUCGAACCGACCGAACAUCCUCUGCCGGUUAAAAACAUUCCACUUUAUGCAUAGGCAUAGUUUGAUCACAAAAUCGAAAUUAAUAUUUUCUUCUUACCUACAUAAACUAUUAUCAUUUCUGUCACACAGAUGACUUAGUCUAAAAAUUUAUUCAAUUGCAUGUAUAUACAAAACAACUUCAAUUAACCAACGAUAAUCUUAUCAUGAUUCGUUGUAAAUAGUGUCCAUUAAACUAAUAUUCAUUUCUUGUAAAAAUAUUCAGUACUAAAGACUUUCUAUGCCGUUGAGAUCAGUUGACUUUUCUAUAUAUCUUUUUUUUAUGGUAUAUUAGUAUGAUUGAGGGGGUGUUGAGUUGGGAUGCUUACAAAAGAGACCGAAUCGCGAGCAGCGACAGCUAAGAUGUCGGCGCAAGAGACGACGCUGCCUUUGCAUGCUUUGUCAACUGCGGACUUGAUUUCGUCAACGACAUCAAACCCUCUAACCGAGUUCAGGUUCGGGGCAGCAGUUUUCUCCCCAGUAAAGCUUGAUGUAUCGUCCAAAAGAAUUGACCCGUCGCAUCCCUGAAUGAAUGAAUUUCAUAUCUCACAAUAUUAUAUUAUAAUUAUAACUCGUCAUAUAGAAAAAAAAACACAAGACAAACUAAUAAGGAAACCAGUGCAUACGUACAUUGACGAAGCAGUCAUGGAAGUGGAGACGAAGCAGUGAUGCACCCAUACGAGGUUCAUCUCUGAUGGCCUUGUUCACUACCCUUUUUAUAGUGGGCAACGCUUCGGGACAAAUAGUUUCGUAAAAGUUUGAUGUUAGUUGUGCAGAAAUAGAUUGGAUCAGGAAGAAAGCUGAUACUGCAAGCGUGAGGAAAGCUUUGGAACCUGCCAUUAUAUAUGCACCAAAAAAUAAAUAGCUAGAAGAUUGAUGAGUUUGGCAGUGUGCACAUACAGUGUGGCUUUAUAUAUAGGUGCUUUUGUGCUUGCAAGUAACUUGUGUGUUUGUGUACAGCUAUCCUUUCGUAAUCAAAGUUUGUUGAAAAAUUCUUGUGUGAGAGGGACAUGAAACUGGACAGAAUUAGCCAGAGAUUGACUAUUAAUUUUGAUCAACAUAUGUUAUAAUAUUACUAACAGCCGGUGGUGUGAAUUAUUCGUAUAAUAUUGGCCUGUUUUUAUCGUUGAAUGAGCUCUUUAAGGAGCACAAAUAUAACAUCUCUUGAAGGAACCUAAAUCUAAGUAGAACUAUUUCUAUUUCAUAUUGCCGGCCAUUUUCAGGUUUUUUUUGAACAAAUGAAACCGAUAUGCAUUCCAGAAUAUGAUCGAGACGAAUGUAUGGAAGUGUCUACCGAAGGUACAGACUCCACAUGGAGCUGUAUAGGCCGCGGGUCCCUGCAAUUACAGAAACCUCAAUUCUUGCUCACCACCUAUGACAACAAGAAUGGAAAGGGGGAGUGCUACAACAUAUUACACUAAAUAUGACACUACAUAGUCCUAGCUACUGGACUAAGGGUAGUCCUUAAUCCUGUACUAUUACAGCACUAGCUCUGUAACCGGUCCGUACCAACAUUUUACUCGAGUGUGAAACCCGGUAGAUGGCCGAGCUUUGUUUAUGUGGUGAUUUCUGGACCUUGCUUCCGAUUAUGCCUUCAAUUUCCAUGAGAUCCAAAGAUGUCUCCUCGCAGCGGCAACGUUUACUAUUAGUAUCCUAGAUUCGCAUCAUAGUUUGCUCCGAACUCUGUAGCCCCAAAUUGUUCCCCAAAUUGAGCACCUGAAAGUUGGUUUGAUCCCCCGCGGGAUGAGGUGUUGCGUUGCGCACUCUGGGACAGCUGGCAAUACUCCAUUGUGUUGUCUUAGCUGCUUGAGCUUCCCGCCGUGAUGGUACCUUGAUCGAGUCAUCCUAUAGGAAAGGAAAUUGCACCGCCGGGAAUUGAAACCGGAGGGGACACUUCUUCUCUACAUGCCCUAAAAUACCACAAAUGUAACAGAAACAUGAGAGUCUCUCGUAUUUAUACUUACAAGUAAUAUCAGCUCCGUCAUGAUUUAUCACGGGUCUCUCCUUCAGUAGCAGUUUCUAAAUAUCCAGGACUACACGGAGGUGCAUAUACGCAUUGGUGAAGAACAGAUUGUUCUUCUCGUCCUAAUCCAGGUAGCGCCCUGCUGAGUUUGCUAGUGCCAUCCCUAGUACUGGAAUGGAGAAAUAUCCAUUCAUAUUAUGUAUCUGGAUCCAUAGGUUCACUUCCUUUGAUAGAACAGUUUGUGGGUUCUCCUCCUAUCACAGGCCCGAAAUCGAUGGCGUUCCGUACAUCGAAUUUGGUGAUCAAAACGAAACAGAAAUCACUGAUUUUCCAAUGUCGUGAUCUCAACUCCGUGCUCCAGUUGCCCUGUGUCGAUAGAAUGCGACACAUUUGGACAAGAUUUAUGUCCUUCUUGGUGAGGACGGUCCCGACCACACAGAGUACAAAACCCAAGGCUGGCGGUUCUUCUACCAAGUCGGCCAGUUAUAAAGCUGCUACCGAUGGAAUCAAUAUUUCUGGACGAAUGUUCGUGAGGGGAGCGUUUGCUCCCGCUGGUAUCCCUGUCAUCGUUGCGGCUCUUACUCCCGUCAAUCCUCCCUCCAUCAAUUGAGGGACGGGAUCUAGAGAUCCUGCCGCGAGUGUGGGUUGGGGGUGGGGGUUGUUGGUUUGGGAGGCAUGGCAGGCGUGAUGGACUUAUUAUAUAAGUUAGAAUCGUGAUUAGAAACUAGAAAUAUAGAGGGCAGAGAUAUAUUUUUUUGAUGGCGAGUUCUUCUAGAAGGAAAGGGAGAAUUAAAGAGAGAAGACAGAGCAGGUCGGUCUAGGAUCAAGGAUGACAGACUAUAUAGGAAGGCUAGGGGAUUCACGAGAAGGUAAUCAAUCCCUUAUGUUCUCCCUUAAUUUCCUAGAUUAAAACCAACGUAGGGAAAUUUGACAGAUAGGGUUUUUGGGAGAUUCGAUCCUUGAUUGAUCUCUUCAGGUAUACAGAACAGGAGAUUGCACACUAGGAAAGGUGCUUCAGAUCAGACUCUACCAGGAAAGCGUAUCUUAGGUGGAGGUCUAAGAUUACUUUCUACUUUAAAGUGUAGAACUAUAAUUCGGUUGUCAUGAAUCCAAAGAUUGGAAUUCAUGUGAAAUAGAAGAGAGCUCUGGGGCCGCAUAGUAGCUUCUGUUCUACUGUACAUGCGUUUAUGUUAUGAUUACAGAGCAGGGCUCUGGGGCCAUACAGUAGCUCAUGUUCUACUGUGCAAGCAUUUAUGUUAUGAUUACAGAGUAGGGCUCUAUGGUUGUACAGUAGCUCGUGUGCUACUGUACAUGCGUUUAUGCUAUGAUUACAGAGCAUGGCUCUGAAACCGUACAAUAGCUUGUGUUUUCCUGUAUCGGGGUUUAUAAUUUGAGCAUAAGCUCAUGGUACUCAACUGUGAAGACAUAGUUCAUGAUUUGGACAAGAUUUAGGUUUAGCUAGAUUAGCUUCCGAUAUGCGUUGCUCAGCCACUCAUGGAUUGUGCAAUCCCCCAUGAUGUUUCUAUGACUACGACAGACGUGUCCAGUAUUCCUACAGAUGUUGCUCACACGAUAUCUACGACUACGAGAUGGUUUCGUGGUUUGAUCCACCACGAGUCUAUCAACUAUUAGCUAGGGGUGACUAAUGAUAGGAUGAUGCCUACAGGACCACAUGGUCACAUUACUAUAUUGAGGGAUUAGUUAGAUCUUCUUCGUCUAUCCUCUUGGUAUAGUCACAGUUCCACGUGAGUCUAGUUUAGCCAUUUAGUGCUUAUCACUGACCCUGUUACUUUUAGUUUUCCCUAUUCUAUAUGUGUGUCUAUUCAUAGGUACUGGAGUUAAUGGUGGAGAGAGAGCUGGUUGGGAUUUUGUUAUCUUUUGAUAUCAUUUUGAUGUAUUUAGAACAUGAGUUGCAUCUCCUCUUUGUUGUGUUGAGAUGUGUUAUGUUUUGGGAUCCGAGAUCCCCUUGGUUAGUUUAUUUAACUAUUUUAGUCGUCGUUUUAUGCUUAUUUAAAUGCGUUGGUAGUAGCUUUAGAGUUGAGUUCGGUUCACGUUGAAACCCGAGUAAGGUUUCUUUGGUUGAACCAAUUGUUCGACCGGAACUUCUAGGGUGGGGGUUUUACAUUAUAUUUUCAUCGGGGUUGUAAAUAAUUUCCUCCAGCAUUGACGUGACUGUUGACUUGGCAUCCUAAUUCACUUAAGGGAACGACUCUGGUGCGUAUUUGUACGACAUACAAAUGCUACAUGAUGGUCUGUCAUUUGUGCCAAUUGAAUUGAACAAAAACCCAUUGAACUCUUUAAUAUCUACUAGUUGAAAUCUUGAUCACCCCAAAAAUAUGUAACUUUUCAGUAAUACGGCGUUGGCCGUAUGAUCUUCUUUAAUAUGUUUGUUUUAAUUAAUUUAUUAGAUCCACUUCAUCGUCUUCUUCUCCAAGAGAAAGAGGUAUGCGGAAGCCAAAGUUUGACGGAAUUAGAUAUAGGAUUAUUUCAUUUUUCUGAUGACAUAGUUACAUUCUUCGACAAAUUUAGGUAUUAACUCAUCAUAUUCUUUUAAUUAAAAAACAACUGUCAAUGAAAAUCUGUCACGUGAUAUUUAUACAGGAUACACAUUUGUAUCAGAGAAUCCGCCUUUACAACCGAGCAUUCUCAGUCUCAGUAUGAAUCAAAGUUGCAUAUUAUUUUCUAACGAAUUCUAAUUCUGCAACGAAUGUGUACUCAGAGUCUUAUUUAAGUUUUAGCAUUGAGAACCAGUCUCAAUCACUUAAAUGUGGUUGUUUGGCUUCACUCAAACAAUAUAUAGUAACAAAUACCAAAAUAGUUUAUCAAUUUUAGAAAUAAAUUUUACAGGUUUAUCAUUUAUGAACCCCUAAUUCUUCUCCUUGAACAUGUGGUAUGGACGAUUGGUUAGGUGCUAAUUAGCUUGCUCUUUAAUCAUUAUGAAUUAAAAAGAUGCCCCAAUCAUUUAUAAUCUAGCUUAUGACUAAAUGUCGAUGAUAUGUACAAAAAUAACUUGUAAUCGACUUAAUCGUAUUAAUCAAACGAAUUCAAUCUGUAUUUAACAGUCAAUAAAUUGUCUUUUAAAUUUUACUUGGAUUUGUCCAUUCUAUCUUUUUUUAUGUAUAGCUUUUUAAAAAAAAUUAUCCAUGUAUAACUAUUCAUUUAUAUAUGGUGUACUACACAUCUCUUAUUCAAAUAAAAGAAAAAAUUUAUAUUAUCCAAACCAAACUUUAAUAAAAAAGUGGGUUUUAACUUUUAUAUUUGACGGUUUGAAUAUGUAUAAAAAAUUAUUGUUAAUCAAGAACUAUAUUUAAAUUACUUUAAAAGGAUAAUAGUCUAUCCAAUCGCCCACGUUAUGGCUACUCGAUAGGAUCCCACUUAUUGAUCAUCCCCCACCUGCUAUGAAAAUUAGAUAAAUUUACAGAGCACAUGAUAGAAUAAUAGAAGCACCAAUAUUUAGAUCAAACUCUCAAGUCAAUUAAUUAAUUAACGAUGAGACAAUUCUUUCUGAUCUUCCCAAUAUUGCUAGUGAGUGGGUUCAUGUUCCCCAACUUAACCAUCGACCCUGGAAAAUCUGUCGCGAACCUUUCCCGAACUGCUUCUGAUCAGAAUGUGAUAGUGUUAGGAUUUGUAGUGAUUAUCUAUCCCUAUCUGCGUGCUUUUUGAGUGAAUAUUAGCUUGUUCGUGUUCCAUUUUUGUAUGGUUUUGUGUUUCGGCAUUGUAUGCCUAGACUCGUUCACUUGGACCGUUUCGAUCUAUGUGAUGUGUUUCUUUGUAGUAUUUGUUAUCCACAUGUACUGAUCGCUGAAAUAACUUCACAAUUAAUUCCACUACACAAGUGUCGUUUGUGUCCAAACGUUCCACGCGUUAUGUUUCUACUCAAACUUGCCAACACGAUUUAGACUAACAGAAUUGGUUUUCGAUUAUAGUUACUCUAAUGGUUAAUUAAAACUAACAGUUUAAAGGUUGAUUCAAUGGGAGAAAAUGAGUUCUCGGAAGAGAUGAUUCAUCAAGCUCAAUUUCCAAAACGCAUUCAAAAUGAACAAAUGUUGUACUUGGAUUGAAUAAAAUGAAUCCUCCUAUCACUCGUAUGAAUUCGCGGCACGAUCAUACACACGGAUUACCAUUACUAGCUUUCCAACUAAGGUAGAAAUAACCGUAAUCAGGCUAUCCGGUAAUGAAUACCGAGAAGUUCUACAAAGUGAUAAGGUAUUUUUCCGGAAUUAAAAGAAAUCACGAGUAAUCGGACAUAGCGUUAACUUGGUCCACCAACGCCUAAACUACUGGUAACUACAGCCAACUUGGUCCAUUGGGUGCAAAUCAGAGUGCCCGCCAAUUACAAGAUACAUAACUUUUAAAAUUAGAAGAAACACAAAAGGUAGAAUUUGGUUGGCAGCUUACCCCACCAAUAACUUUCAUUUAUCUUUGACCAUUUAUCUUAUGAAUUUCUACGUCGAUCAAACAGAGAAACUCAUAGAUUUGACCUAAUUAUUACCGUAACAAGAAUUAGGUUGAAAAGUUCAACAAUCAAAGCAAACUGUCAUUCACAUCCAAUUAUCCACAAUCCUCGUUUCUAAAUGUUCAAGAUAAGUAUCAUGGCUCAAAUCCUACAUCUUAACAAGGAAAAUCAAAGACUUAGCUACUCAUAACUCUAGAAGAAGACAAAUCAAAAGAACCCUAACCAUCAUCUUGCUGAAGAGAUAACAGUUUGUUCUUCUUCCAAUCGUCGCUUUUAGUCUUCCAGCUUCAAUAUUUGAUAAGAACACCUUUGGAUCUUCAAUUGAGCUUCUAGGGAAGGAUGUAUGCUGGUUUUUUGUAGAGAGAAGGAGGGAAAAAUUGAGAGAAUUCAAGUUUGGGGAAGAAUCUAACUCUUUCCUCCAAAAUCUGCCCUUUUAUAGGAAGCUGCCAAAACUGAAGGGUGCACACCAUGCACCUCCUUACCUUCAAAAUUUCGUGUAUUUAAACGGGGGGACGACGUGCAGGAGUGCAUGUUGUUCCCCUUUUUUAGGGCCGAGAUUUUAAAGCAUCCUAAUGCUGCACGGAGUGCGACCCCUCUGCUCCAUUUCAUUUCUUGAUCUUCCAUUCAAGCUCUAAUCGUGCUCUACUUCACAUCCAUAGCUUCAUAACCAGACCACCUAUCUCUAGAGUACCGCUGGAAAAUGAAUACUACAAAGAAACACAUCAAAUGGACCGAAACGGUCCAAAUGAACAGGUAUAGGCACAUAAUGACAAAACACGAAACCACACGGGAACGAAGCACGAACUAGCUAAUAUCCACUCAAAAAGUGUGCAAAUAAGGAUAGAUAAUUACUACAAAUCCUAGCACUAUCAGGUAAUCUAGAGAGAAGUGGUCUAAAUAUGGGGCCAUGGAUGUGGAAUAGAGUACGGUUGGAGUUUGAAUAGAAGAACAGAACAAGGAAUGGUGAAGAAGAAGGGUUGCACAACGUGCAUCACUACACCCCGUGCAGGCCCUAAAAUGCAAAAUAGCCUCAUAGCAAAAGGGGGUACACGGCAUGUAGUCAUUUUUACAACAAAACUUUUUUUCAGAAAAAGGGGGUGCAUGUACGGCGUGCACCUCCCAGAUUCAGCAGUUUCUCUGUAAAAGACUAAUUUUGAGGAAAGAGAAAGAAGAUCUUCUCCAACAAAUUUUCCUCCAGUUUUCACAGAUUUUUCUCUGCUAAAACACCAUAUCUCCAUCCCUAGAAGUCCAAUUGAAGAUCCAAAGGAGUUCACAUUGAUUAUUGAAGCUAGGAUUGAAGCUAGAAGAUCAAAAGCGAUUGGAUCGAGAUCAAGUGAUUCUCUCUUCAUCAAUAUGGUGGUUAGGUCUUUUCCUAUUUUGUCUUCUUCUAGAGUCAUGAGUAGCUAAUUCUUUUGAGUUUCAUGGUUGGGAUGUAAGAAUUGAGCUAUGAUACUCUCCCUAAAAGUAUAGGGUCGAUGACUGUUGGAUAAUUUGAUUUCAAUGAAAGAUUUCUUUGAUUGUUGGGUUUCUAACCUAGUUAUUGUUACGACUUGAAUUAGGUCAAAUGUAUGAAAUUCUCUGUUUGAUCGACUUAGGAAAUCAUAUGAUUAACAAUCUAAGAUAGAAGAAAUGUAUCGGUGGGGUAAGCCGAUAGCUCAAUUCUACCUUUCAUGCUUCUUUUGGUUUUAACGGUUGUUCAUCAAAUAAUUGGUGGGCGUUCUGGUUUGCUCCUGAUGGACCAAGUUCGGUGUAGUUAUCAUUAGGUUUGGUGUUGAUGGACCAAGUUAACGCUAAUCCCAAUUACUUAUGAUUUCCUUUAAUUCUUAAAGAGCACCUUAUCACUUUGUAGAACUUCUCGGUGUUCAUCAUCAGUUAGCCUAAUUGAGGUUAUUCCAACCUUGAUUGGGAUGCUAGUAGUGGUAAUCCGCAUGCAUGAUCAUGCGUGGAUUCAUACAAGUGAUAAGAGGAUUCGUAUUGUUCAAUCCAAGUCAAACGUUGUUCGAUCUGACUACUAUUUGGAAGUUGAGCUUGAUGAAUCAUCCCUUCCAAGAACUUGUAUUCUCCUCCUAAGUUAAAUCAUAAUUAUUAGUUUUAAUUGAAUCAAUAGAAUCAUUAGAAACUUUAUCAAUUUUUUCAGUUUAGACCGUGUUGACGAGUUUGAGUAAAAGCAUAACGACAGGAAUCCUUGGACACAUAUGACACUUCUGUUGUGGAGAUAACUUCGCAGUUAUUUUGGCGAUCAAGUUUAUGGCGCCGUUGUUGGGGACUCUCUCUCGUUCCUUUGAAUGAACUUAGUCAGCGCCGCUUUAGACAUUCGACUCCCAUGUAUAGUAUUACUUUUUUUUUUGUUUUUCUCCCACUUUAUUUAAAUGGGUUGUUAGUGUUUGAGGUCAUAUACAAGGUUAUAGUUGGAAUGGAGAGAGGCAAGGUCCCUAUGAUGUAAGUAAUGGAGAUGAAGGUUGGAGUUCAUAUCCUAACCCACACCAACAGUAUGAGCAUCAAGGUCCAUCGAAAUACUACCAACCUAGCUAUGAAGGACAGCAACAAUAAUGGUGUACCUUUGGGCAAGGAGCAAUGCAGAGUUGGGGUGAACACCAAUCUCCAAAACCUUUCUACCCAGAAUCACCUUCAAUUUACCGUCACCAAGACUCACCUUUGAUCUACUCCCACCAAGGCCAAAAUCAAGACCAUCCACCUUUUGAAGACCAAUGCUCAAGACUUGAUUAUUCAUAUCAAUCCCGUCCUUUUGUGCAUGAGUGAUAGUGCUAGGAUUUGUAGUAAUUAUCUAUCCUUAUCUGAAUGCUUUUUGAGUGAAUAUUAGCUUGUUCGUGUUUCAUUCCCGUGUGGUUUCAUGUUUUGGCAUUAUGUGUCUAGACUCGUUCAGUUUGACCGUUUUGGUCCAUUUGAUGUGUUUCUUUGUAGUAUUUGUUAUCCACAGGUACUCUAGAGAUAGAGUGUCUGUUUAUGAGUCUCUGGAUAUAGAAUAGAGCAUGAUUGGACCUUGGACGGAAGAACAAGACAAGAAUUGGUGAAGCAGAGGAGUCGCACGCCGUGCAUCACUACAUGUCGUCCAACCCUAAAUCUCAAAUUGGAUGCGUAGCAAAAUUCAAGGAAUGGCGUGCCGUCCCCCUUUUUUUAGGACGUGAGCAACUUCACCACAGGGGGGGCACAGCGUGCACCUCCCAGAAUCAGCAGUUUCCCUAUAAAAGGUUGAUUUUGAGGAAAGAGAAUCAUACUUUCCUAAAACGAAAUGCUUCAACUUUUUCAUGACCUCUCAUCUGAUAAAAAACCAUUCUUCAUCCCUAGAAGUCCAAUUGAAGAUCAAAAGGAGUCGCCAUUGACGAUUGAAGCUAGAAGAUUAAAAGUGACAAUUGGAGCAAGAUCGAUCCAUCGUCUCCUCAUCAAGAUGGUGGUUUGGUGGAAUUCUGAUUUGUCUUCUUCUAUAAUCAUGAGUUGCUAAUGCUUUAGAGUUUCUUGGCUGAGAUGUAGGAUUUGAGCUAUGAUACUCUCCUUAAAAGUAUAGGGUCGACGAUUUUUUGAUAUUUGGAUUAAAAUGAAUGAUUGCUUUGAUUGUUGGGUUUUCAACCUAGUUCUUAUUACGACUUGAAUCAGGUCAAAUCUAUUAAAUCCUUUAUCUGAUAGAUUCUAGAAUUCAUAUGAUUAGCAAUCUAAGAUAGAUGAAAGUUAUCGAUGGGGUAAGCCAAUAGCUCAAUUCUACCUUUCGUGUAUGUUUUAGUUUUAAAGGUUGUUCAUCUUGCAAUAGGCGGGAGCUCUGAUUUUCACCUAAGUAAAUCAAAAUUCUGAUAACUCGUGAUUUCCUUUAAUUCUAAAAGAGCACCUUAUCAUUUUGUAGAACUUGUCAGUGUUCAUUACUGGUUAGCCUAGUUGAGGUUAUUCCAACCUUGAUUGAGAAACUAGUAGUGGUAUUCCGCGUGCAUGAUCGUGCCGCGGAUUCAUACUAUGGAUAAGAGGAUUGUAUUAUUUAAUUCAAGUUUAACGUUUGUUCGAUCCGACUACUAUUAGGAAGUUUGAGCUUGAUGAAUCAGCUCAUCAAAGAGCUUGUUUUCUCCCAUUUGAUCAAACCUUAAUUGUCUGUUUUAAUUGAAUUAAUAUGAUUGUUAGAAACCCUUUCCAAUCUGUUUCAUCUAGACCGUAUUGACGAGUUUUAGUAGAAGCAUAACGAGAAUAUCUUUGGACACUUACGACACUUGUAUUGUCGAGAUAACUGUGAAGCUAUCUUGGCGAUCAAGUUUUUGGGGAAUCGUAUUAUUUAAUCCAAGUCCAACAUUUUUUCGAUCCGACUGCUAUUAGGAAGUUGAGCUUGAUGAAUCAUCUCAUCCAAAAGCUUGUUUUCUCCCCUUAAUCAAACCUCAAUUGUCCGUUUUAAUAGAGUUAAUAGGAUUGUUAGAAAGUCUUUCCACUCAAUUUCGUGUAGACUGUGAUGACGAGUUUGAGUAAAGCAUAAUGAGAGCAAUCCUUAGACACAUACGAUACUUAUGUUGUCAAGAUAACUUCGCUGUUAUUUUGGCGUCAUUGUUGGGGACUCUCUCUAGUUCCUUUGAAAGGACUUAGUCAGCGUCGCUUUUGACAUUCGACUCCAUAUAUAGUUUUAUUUUGUUUUUAUUUUUCUCCCGCUUGACUUACUUGGGUUGUUAGUGUUUGAUUUCAUAUGCAAGGUUAUAGUUGGAAUGGAGAGUGGCAAGGUCCCUAUGGUGCAAGUAAUGAAGAUGAAAGUUGGAGCUCAUAUCCUAACCAACACCAAAAUUAUGAGCAUUAAGGUCCACCAAACUACUACCAACCUAGCUAUGAAAAAGAGCAACAACAAUGGAGUAACUUUGGAUAAGGAGCAAUGCCAAGUUGGGAUGGACACCAAUCUCCAACACCUUUCUACUCAGACUCACCUUCAACUUACUAUCAUCAAGAUCAUCCACCUUUUGAAGAUUAGUGCUCACGGCUUGAUUAUUCGUAUCAAUCCCCUCCUGCUGUGCAUGAGCAACUCCUUAUGCAACUUGACGAGGGUCACUGCCGACUAUAGUUAUUAACCGAACAAACUCGCCUUUUGACAUGACUUGUGGCGGAGCAUCCUUUCCUACUACAAUUGGAGGGGGUUGAGAUGAAUGACUAUGAUUUGGGUAUGACAUACAAGGAAAUAGAUGAAGAAGAAUUGAAGGCAUCAACCUUCUUUAACGGCAAGUGACGUCAGGGUUUUCUAAGCCCAAACAAUCAAAUGAUCGUGAGAUGCCUCAGCGUCGAAUUCUCUUGGGUCACUUGGCCUUCACUACUCAGCUUUGAUUCGCUGGUUAGUCGGUCACAAUUUGGAAACAGUUUUAUCCUAAACUAUAAAAUGAAAACAAAACAACUACUAGAGGAAACGGGAAACUAGGAAUUCAAAUAUAUCACUCGAUGGCUACGAAUCAAAUUAAGGUGAGAACGACUGUGGGGAAAGGCCUUGUUCGAGUUUUGGAUCAUCCUAAGGACUAUGGGAAACCGUUAGCAGCAGAAUAAAAAAGAACAUGGAUAACAAUAAGUUGGUCUUAGGAUUGGGUCUGUUAACUGAACGACCUAAGACCACUCUCAACACGUACAAGUAUCCGCUCAACAAAAAAUUCAGCAACAAUCUCCCAAAAAAACCCAAAUCAGGAAAACUGAGAAAAACUGCGAAUCAAAUGGAAACAGGAUAAUCGAGGCAACAUGAUAACAAAACAAAUCAUCAAUAAACAUGAAUCCACAAUCAUAUCACUACACACAAGAACAAUCUCAUAAAUCCAAAGGAAUUCAUAAAACCCAAACAAGAAGUAAACCUAGUUCUCCGGGAAGCUGUAGAGAAUGCUGCAAACCGCCAAUCCAUCAAAGUAGAAGGUAGAUCCUCGGUUCGCCUUUGAUUCCUCCACUAUUUGGCUUCAAAUCUUCAUUCCCAUGGCGUUCCUAGGUUCCCAAGCACUUCCCCCUUUGUCAAAAUGUGUUUUAGUUCGUCAUUUUCUGACUUCCCCCUUCUGAAAUCGCGUCUGGUGAUGAAUUAAUUCUGCUGCCUAGAAUAGGCGUCACGAGCGUGACAGGUUACCCAUCGCGGCCAUGACACCUAUCACGGCCAUGACAGCUUAUGUCACGGCCUUAACUAGUCAACAGCUGUAUUGAUCGACUUCUUUCGGCCAUAACUUCCUCAUUCGGACUCUGAUUUCGCUCUAAAAGGUACUAUCCACUUCAUAUUCGAACCCUCUAUCCAACGGAUACAUGAAAUCAAGUAAUAGACUCCAAGAAACAAGUGAAACAGACCGAAAUGGUCCGUUCAAGAGGAAACAAGCACGAAAUGCACUAAUGAUCAAACCGGGCACUUAUAACCAUCAAAUAUCAUCAAAACCGGAGCAAAAACUUAUCAAGGUAGGGUCAAUAUGGCUACCAAUAAUCAAGCUAUCAAAUCCAUCCACACUUGAACGUUGCUUGUCCUCAAGAAAAUCUACUAAUCACACCUGAAGAGAACUCGAAUCAUGGUGAAAAGAAAGACAUAGCCUAGCAUUUCAAGCCUACUUCACGAUGCCAAAAUUGCAAGUCGAUCACCAAAUCACUCAAUUAUGUACAAGACACCGAAUCCCUUAAAAAAGUUCACACCAAACUCAAACAUAUAGAGAUUAUGACUAAACACCUAAUACAAGCGAAUAUACAAGAGUUUCUCCAUUGCAUUUAUAUCUUGUGGUACUAGCGGAAGAAAUGGACAGACGGAUGGUCCUGCCUGGGUAUUUUUCCAAUCCUGAAGGAGGGGAUGCCUAAUCGUAACACAACUAUCACCAAAAAUACUAGCAUUCCUUCUUAGUUUAAUAUGCUUUUCUUUCUUUUUUAUUGGUUUUCAACUAACUCUUCUUCCCCUCUUUUCUUUACUUUUUUCGAAGAGAAUUGUUACAACCAUGGCCGGACUCGAAAGUACCUAGUCCCCGUCCCGCGCCCCAAACCUCAUAAAGGUUGGGAAGAAGGCGGACCUUAAGGGUCACCACACGUGUUUAGGUUGUAACCAAACCCAAAGGUAUUUUUAUUCAAGCAUCCUCAUUCAAAUCCGUCCCAUCGAUUUUGACUUGAUAACACCAGAAACAAGCUCGACAAAGAGAAACUAUCAUACAUAUCAAACAAGUAUAGGGGAAAACUCAUUACUUCCAUAUGUACAAGUUCGAAGAAAACUAAUUUCAGAAAAACGGGAGGUGGUCCACAAAUGAUCUACUUAGCAACCUAUUCAUCCUCAAGUAGUAUGUAAAUACUAAGAAUGUAUACAAAGACAUCCACAUAUUCAAAUUCAAGACACAUCCACAGAUUCAAAUUCCAGAGGGAGAUUUGAAAAGCAAGAGUAAGCCACAAUAAGCAUCAAUACAAAUAAGAGGCUAAAAUGAACUAGCACCCUAAUCAUCCAACAACAACAAGCAUGGUACACUUUCACAAUUCCCCCACACUUAAACAUCACAUUGUCCUCAAAGGAACCAAAAUAUAAUAGAGUGGGAGAAAAUGUAUCGUGAAGAACAAUCACAAAGGAUGAAAAGUGGAACAACCCAAAACGAUGAUCCAAAAUAGAGUAAUCCAAGUCAAUGAUCAAAGGAAUGUUGGGAAACCUGAAACAAACAUAUGAAAAGAAGAAAAGAGCACAGCACGGACAUCAACCACCACAAGCAGAAGUGCUUAAUGGGGUGAAAACAAAUCCACAUUAUCACAAUAGAGUAUAUCACAAAGUUCAAAUGAAAGAAAAAGAAAAAAAACAAAGAUUAAACACUAAAUGUCCUAUAAAGUCACACUAGAGUCAUUCAAAUAGGUUGAGUUUUGGGGAUUUUCUAUUUUUGAAAAGGGGGGAGAGGUUGCUGGACACCUUAGGCGUCACGGCCGGGGCAGGCCGAGCCCCACGGCCGCGGUGGGCUUUUAACCCCCCACACCCCCCUACGCAUCACGGCCGUGGUGGGUUUCAAACUCCCAAUCCCCCACUCUGAUUUUAAUUAAAACGAAGAGUUUUGACAAGAUGCAUCACGGCCGUGACAGGGUAAGAGUCACGGCCGUAACGAGCUUACAGACAGCAACUACUCAGUAAAUUUUCAUAGCAGAUGCAAAACAUUCUUCGCCCAACUAAACACCAAACAAUCACCGAAUUCACUCAAAUCAAGACCGACAAUACCCCAAAUUGACAUUGCAUACCAACCACAACAAAAUUUGACACUCAAGACAUCUAGAGAACGAUCAAGAACGAUCAUGCACACAAAUUAAAAGAAAAUGAUAGAAACUCAAGUUGCCUCUCGAAAGCGCUUUGUUAAUGUCAUUAGCUUGACGUGGUGAAGCGGAGGUAGAUUAGCAAUCACCAACCCAUCCAAGAAGCUCCUUGUAAUUCAUGUCAUCGUUAGUCUUUGAGUAGAUGUGAUUAGGGAAAGUAACUUGAAUGCUUCCCCAUUGUGGAUGAGUAAACUCAACACAACCGGUAAGAGUGGUAUCAAUCUUCAUCAAAAGACUGAGUAAAGGCAAAUCCUCCUUGCUCUUGGCUUGCUCAAUCAUCAUCAAUUCUUUGCGGUGCCUCUUCCUUUUCCUUCUACUUAGGCGCUUUCUUUUAGUUGCUCUAGUAGUAGGUUGAGAGAAUUUUAUUGAUGUUUCAUUUGAAGAGGCAGAAUCGCCAUUGAAGUGGUUGGUUUUAUAAGACCUUAGCCUCUUCGGGUUCAUCAUGAGCAUCUAUGACCAAGGGAGUGGUGCUAACAUUGUGAACUACAUAAAGCUCCUCAUCCUCUACACUUUUCAAAAAGUAGGAUGGAAUGUCAAUGUCUUCGACCAAAAGAGGAGGACUAGGAAUUAUACCCUUUCUCAACUUAGCCAUAUAAGAAUUCCCCUCUUCUUCAUCGGAGAAGUAGAACGGAAAUUCUUCAAUGUCGCCCUGUCUCAGCCUAGCCAAAAAAACCUUCUCAUCUUUAUACUCCUCCUCGAUCGCACCAACAUCUUUAAUUUGUCCCGCAACUUUAAUUCUUUCUCCAAUGUCAGUAUGACAAGCUCGAGUCUUGUGUUCCAAUUUAAAGAAAACAUCUUGGAGGAUUUCCAUUGUAUUUGACAAGCGAUCAAUCUUGUCUUCUUGCUUUACCAAUCUAGCCCCAAAAUGUCUUGUAACAUCACUUAACAACUUCUCAACACUUUUUUUUCCAUGAUAGGGCUUGAAGAGCUAGUUUCUUGUUGAGAUGCUCGGUGACUAUUUCUUUCUUCUUUGAGCUGGAAAGCAAUGACACUCAUGGACUCUUGAAGCUCUCCCAAAGAUGCUUCAAUCCUCGCAUUGUGAGCCGCAUGAAUAGCUAUAUCGGCACGAUAUCAAGCUUCAAUGUAUUGGAUUAGCUUGACAAUAUCUUCAUUGGAAGUGGAGGGACCAUAAUUCCCAUUCAUCGAGUCAUGAAAUUGAGAAUCACCAUGAAACCUAUACUGGUCUUGCCAAUUUGAAUAGCCUUGAUCAUUUGAGCUCCUAUUAGUGAAAUCACCAUAACCACAACCAUACUCGUUUUGAUAUCCAUAAUGAGCAUACGAGAAGCCUUGAUUAGGAGAGUCAAACUGCAUUUGUACAUGGUUAUCCAUACUUCGUCCUGCAAACAAAGUUGAACUAUCCAAAACAACAAAUACAGGAAGGGUGAAACAAAAAAAAAGACUAAGUCAAGUAUGUCCCCGGCAACGGCGCCAAUUACUUGAUCGCCGAAAUAACUGUAAAGUAAUUCCGACAACACAAGUGUCGUUUGUGUCCGAAGGCUCCUCUCGUUAUGCCUAUACUCGAACUCGUCAACACGGUUUAGACUGAAAUAGUGGUUUUUGAUUUUAAUUACUCUAAUGAUUAAAUUAAACUAACAAAUUAAGGGUUAGAUCGGAAGAGCGUCGUGUAGGGAAAGAGUGUAGAUCUNNNNNNAGUUCUUGGAAGAGAUGAGUCAUCAAGCAUCAAGCUCAACUUCUUAAAUGCAUUCAAAACGAACGAAUAUGGACUUCAAUUGAAUAAAAUGAAUCCUCCUAUCACUCGUAUGAAUCCGUGACACAAUCAUGCAUGCAGAUUACCAAUUCUAGCUUCCCGACUAAGGUACAAAUAACCUUAAUCAGGCUAGCCGGUAAUGAGCACCGAGAAGUUCUACAAAGUGAUAAGGUGUUCUUUCGAAGAAUUCAUGAGUAAUUGGAAAUAGUGUUAACUUGGUCAAUCAACACCUAAGCUACUGAUAACUACACCCAACUUGGUCCAUUGGGUGCAAACCAGAGCGCCCGCCAAUUACAAGAUAAAUAUCGUUUCAAAUUGGAAGAAACACAACAGGUAAAAUUAGGUUAUUGGCUUACCCCACCUGUAACUUAAUUCUAUCCUCGAUUGCAAAUCUUAUGAAUUCCUAAGUCUAUCAUAAACAAAGGAUUCCAUACAUUUGACUAAUUUUAGCCGUAACAAGAAUCAGGUUGAAACCCAAUCAAACGACACAAUCUUUCAUUACAAUCCAAACAUCCACAAUCGUCGUUCUUAAACAUUCAAACAUGUAUCAUCGCUCAAUUCCUACAUCUCAACCAAGAAUCCCUGCAAAAUUAGCUACUAAUGAUGCUAGAAGAAAACAAAUCAAAAGAAACCCUAACCAUCAUCUUAUCGGGGAGAUAGCGGCUUGUUCUUCUUUCAAUCGUUGCUUUUGGUCUUCUAUCUUCAAUCCUAGCUUGAAUCCUUGAAAGGAACUCCUUUGGAUCUUCAAUUGAGCUUCUAGAGGAGGGUUUGUGCUGGUUUUUGCAAAGAAAACUCGGGGAAAAUUGAGGAAAAACGAAGUUGGGGAAGAAUCUUCUCUUUCCUCAAAAACUGCCUUUUUAUAGGGAAAAGCCAAAACUAGAGGGUGUAUGCCGUGCACCUCCCUAUUUUCACUGUGUCGCAUAGAAUAAAGGAGGGAACGGCGUGGACCAGUGCACGCAGUGCACCUCCUAUUCUCCAAGGUUCCUCAUUGCAAAAAGAGAGGAACGGCGUGCAGUGGUGCACGCCGUUCCAGUGUUUUGAGGUCGAGCUCCUUGACAUGAUCAUGGACUGCAUAGCGUGCCGUCCCUCUGCUGUGCCAUUUUCUUUCUCGACUUCCCAUUCGAACUCUAAUCGCACUACACACCACGUCCUUGGCUUCAUAGCCAAAUCACAUAUCUCCAUAGUACUAUAGGUGACAAAUACUACAAAGAACACAUCAAAUGGACCAAAACGGUCCAAGUAAACGGAUCUAGACACAUGAUGCCAAUGAAUGAAAUCAUAGGGGAAUGAAGCUUGAACAUGCUAAUAAAAACUCAAAAGCACGCAUAAAAGGUUAGAUAAUUGCUACAAAUUCUAGCCUUGUUAGCAAGCUACUUCUCUCUGACGUUGGGGUAGAAGAAUCCGAAAGGGAGGAUGAUGGAGAGUGGAAGGAAGAAGUACAUGAAGAUAUAGCGCCUCCCAAAUUCAACAUUGCACCUCCACUUGAGCAACCCAUCAUUUGGCGUUUUCCUCGAGUCGUGAUUCCAAUGAGAACAAACGAGACCCUUCAAGACUCAUGUUUGGUUUUGAAGUACCUAUGUGAGGAAACUCACAAGGAGCACUUCCCACAUCGGUCUAGAACGGACCCCUCCAUCUCGGGACCACUCUUGGACGACCUCACCAACUGUCCGAGUACUACCAUUAGCUUGGGGAGCAUUGUAGACCUUGAUGUUCCCUCACCAACCUACCUCUACCCUCCUCACGCGUACACAUUCACAAAGAGGAAGCCGCAACAAGGAAAGAGUUGGCGCUCACAACCGCAUCAACUCCUCCAUCUCUCUCUAAGGGUGCUACUUGGCAUUCAAUGCCAAGCCUUAAAGAAACUAAUGGAAUUCAAGGAGGUUCUAAGUUAGGGAGUGUAAUCCAGGUAUCGUCUAGCUUAAAGAUGAAAAAAGAAAGAGUGCUCUUGAGAGGCACCCCUUGCGUAUCCCUUCUUAGAAUAGAGAAUAAAAACCGAAGGAUUAUUGGCUUGUGUGUCUUGUGGUAUGUCGUUUGUGUCAGUCUUGUGAUUGAGUCGAGUUUUAAGUUUGUUGAUAGUAUCCUAUCUGAUUGUUGUUUCCAAAUGAAUGCUAGGGAGCUGUGAUUAGUGAGUGUUUAUGUUUGGUGAGUGUUGUCAAAAGUUAAAUUAAAAUGUUGCUGUAAAUCUAGCUUGCAUGCCGUGCAUGGCUAGAUUGUUUCAAAACCUUCAUAGCAAAAAAGGUGUGCACGCCGUGCACCCUUAUCCUAAAAAACCAACUACCCAGAGUUUGUUUCCAUGCCUUUCACAUUAGAUAUUCGUGAGCACGCGAAAAUUCUAAGUGUGGGGGGGGAUUGGUUUUGAUUGAUUGGUCGACAUUUGUGCUUCAAUUGGACCCUUGUUAACGGAUGAUAACACUUGUUACAUCUAUCACUAGUACAUUGUUUUUGUUAUGAUUGGCAGAUUUCAAAAAUGGUUCACCUAUCACAUCUCACCAUCAUAUUCUAUUUCAUCAACUCAAUUCGGAAUUAACUUAUCUCUUCUCUAAUGUGACUUCUUGUGAGGGUAAUGUUGUUGUUUAUGGGAUGAAUUAGGAUGCUAGUUAUUUCACUUGAUUGCUUUAAUUGAAUCCUUGUAUAUGAACAUUUGAAAUUCCCUCUUAAACUUGAAAAUUUUGGAUGAUUUGGAUGCAUGUUUAGCGUAGUAUUGCUACUUGAGGGUGAAUAAGAUGCAUGAUGGAUCAUUUUGGGAUCGCCUCCCAUUUUUCUCGAAACGAGUUUAGAAUAGAUUUAUACACUUGGUUACUUGGUCAUGAUGUCUACCGACUUUGUGAACAUAUAUUUAUCCUAUCGAGUUUGCUCUAGUUAUUUAAAGUCAUAUUUGACUAGAUGGUCCGAAUAAGGUGCAAAAGAGUCCAAUGUGCCCAAAUUGUCGUGGGGGUUCGGUUGUGAUUCAACACACAGCGACUUUGAGUCUGUCGCAUGCAAGCUAGUCACUUCAGGCUUCUCUUCUCAACACUUCCUAGUUGCGAGUCGAGGUUUCUCGGGUAAACUCGAUCUAUGUGGAUGAGAGCCUUAGCCCGAUCAGGGUCGCAACUACCCCCACUUGGAAAGAUACCCCCAAAAAGCUAUGCAAAUUUUUGAAAGAUGGGUUUGCAAUUAAUUGAGUAAUUUAAUUAACCCAAGUGUUUAGCAUAUCAUUAUAAAAGAAGAGGGAAGUGCUAUGAUUUGGAUAAAUCAUUAAAGUAAGCACUCCCUCCCUUAGGACAGGAAAAAUACCAGGCCAGGACCAUUUGUUUUGAGCAUAAGUGAUCGGGACAAAUGUUUUUGUCGGUGGGUGUUGAUGGUACUAACUAUAUACAUAUGUUUGUUCUUUAUUUCGAUUAGAAGACUUAGUAAAUAUUAGCUUUUUGAUUGAAUAUUACCUUGUUCCAACUUCAUUCCCGUGUGAUUUUAUGUUUUGGCAUUAUGUGUCUAGACCCAUUCACUUGGACCAUUUCGGUCCAUUUGAUGUGCGUCUUUGUAGUAUUUGUUAUCCACAGGUACUCUAGAGACAGUUGGUCUAGCUAUGGGACCAUGGGCGCGAAAUAGAGCACGGUUGGAGCUUGAACGGAAGAACGAAACAAGGAAUGGUGAAUAAGAAGGGCCACACGCCGUACAUCACUGCACCCCGUGCAUGCCCUAAAAUGCUAAAUAUCCUCGUAGCAAAAGGGGGUGCACGGCGUGCAUCCAUUUUUGCAACAAAGGUUCUUUCAGCAAAGGGGGAGCACGGGCGUUCAUCCCUGCACGGCGUGCACCUCCCAAAUUCAACAGUUUCCCUAUAAAAGGCUGAUUUUGAGGAAAGAGAAAGAAGAUCUUCUCCAACGAAUUUACCUCGAUUUUUCCACGAUUUUUCUCUGCAAAACUCCAUAUCUCCAUCCUUAGAAGUCCGAUUGAAGAUCCGAAGGAGUCCCCAUUGGAGAUUGAAGCUAGGAUUAAAGGUAGAAGAUCAAAAUCGAAGAUUGGAUAGAGAUUAAGCCAUUAUCUCUUCAUCAAUAUGUUGGUUACGAAUUUUCCUAUUUUCUCUUCUUCUAGAGUCAUGAGUAGCUAAUUCUUUUGAGUUUCUUGGUCGGGAUGUAAGAAUUGAGCUAUGAUACUCUCCCUAAAAGUAUAGGAUCGAUGGUUGUUGGAUAAUUAGAUUUGAAUGAAAGAUUGGUUUCAUUGUUGGGUUUCCAACCUAGUUCUUGUUACGACUUGAAUUAGGUCAAAUCUAUGAAAUCAUAUGAUUAAAAAUCUAAGAUAGAAGAAGUUAUCAGUGGGGUAAGCCAUUAGCCCGAUUCUACCUUUCGUGCUUCUUUUGGUUUUAACGGUUAUUCAUCAAAUAAUUAGUGAGCGUUCUAGUUUGCACCUAAUGGACCAAGUUGGGUGUAAUUAUCAUUAGCUUAGGCGUUGAUGGAUCAAGUUAACGCUAAUUCAAUUUACUUGUGAUUUCCCUUAAUUAUUAAAGAGCACCUUAUCACUUUGUAUAACUUCUCGGUGUUCAUUAUCGGUUAGCCUAAUUGAAGUUAUUCCAACUUUGAUUGGAAAGCUAGUAGUGGCAAUCCGCGUGCAUGAUCGUGCCGCGGAUUCAUACGAGUGAUAAGAGGAUUCGUAUCGUUCAAUCCAAGUCCAACGUUGUUCGAUCUGACUACUAUUACGAAGUUGAGCUUGAUGAAUCAUCCCUUCUAUGAACUUGUCUUCUCCUCCUAGUAUAAAGCAUAAUUGUUAGUUUUAAUUGAAUCAAUAGAAUCAUUAUAAACCCUUCUCAAUUUGUUCAGUCUAUAUUGUGUUGAUUAGUUUGAGUAAAAGCAUAACGAGAGGAAUCCCUAGACACAUACGACACUUGUGUUGUUGAGAUAACUUCAAAGUUAUUUUGGCGAUCAAAAUGCAGGAGGCCUCUCGACUGCAUCUGCGACCUGAAAAACUAGAUGUCAAAUCCCCCGAAAGUCUGCUCGAGAGCCUGGGUGUUGUUGUCCCCGCUUCCGGUGGCCGUCGGGCAAUUAUGUUGCAAAGAGGAAGCGAAUUGGGGUCGAAUGCUGUUGGAGGUGUUGUUGUAGAUCCGGUUUUGGAAAUCGACCCAACGAGAGACGCCGAUGGUGUGUCCUCUCGAAAGCGCCACGAGGUUGGUGAUGUUGAGGCCGUGGGAUUGGAAGUUGGACAUUAGCUGCGAGAAGUUGAACGUCGGCGGCAAGAGGAUAUUGUUCGCGGUGGCGCGGCUGGCUGUUCUUGCGUGUCUUCAUCCUAAGGGAAAUUGGUAGAAGUAACUUUGACCUCCCAGCUGUAAGAAUUUAUAAAUUUAGAAAAUGUAAGUUGAGUUACCAAUACGACGACGUUUAGAGAGAUAUAGGAAAAUGAAAUGGGUUAGGCAAGGUUACGAUCGAGACAUAGUCGCAAGCAGCAACGACUAAGAUGUUAGCGCAGGAGGCGACAUUAGCCUUGCAUUUCUUGUCAGUACUUCCGACUUGAUUUUGUCGAUAACUUCAAACCCUCUCACAGAGUUUACGUUAGGAGCUUCCGUCUUCUCUCCGGUAAAAUUGGCAGUGUCGUCCAACAAUAUGGAGCCAUCACAACCUUGUAUACAUUUUUAUUGAGUUGUCCCAAAUGGUAGAGAAUAUGACUUUGAAAAAUAAAAUUAAGGAAGUGGUAGUGAACUUACAUUGACAAAGCAGUCGUGGAAGUGCAAUCCGAGGUGGGAAGCGCCCAUUCGAGUCUCAUUUUUUAUUUCUUGCCUAACAAUCUUUCGAAUUGCAGGUAGGGCCUGGGGGCAAGUUGUUUUGUAGAAAUCAGGGGCCAUCAGAAAGGUAGCCACAAGCGAGAAACCGCGCAGAGCACCCAUAUAUGCUUUGGUUGAUUGAUUAACUAGUUAUGGAGUUAGUUCAAAUUGGUUUCAGAUGUCUUGCUGCUACAACUUCAUACGUCGUGAGUAUUUAUAGUACACGGAUGGAAACGAGCAAUGAUUGAUUCUAAAAAGCUGAAGACCAUAUAAUAUUGUAGCUUAUCUGCAUUCUUAUUCCAAUCUGUAGCAUAAUAGUUAGCACGAAAGGCCUUGAGGAGACAGAGAUGCAAAUUUUCCCUUCCGAUUGUUGAUUAAGUGCACGGGAAAGCUAAGCUAGGCUGCUCUUGCAUGAAUGAAUCCCUAUUCUACCCAGAGAAUCAUCCAAUUCACGAUUUGUAGUGUCAACCCUUAGGUUGUUUCUGGAUUGGUAGUUGAUAAGCAAACGUUACCAUGUCACAAUCAUCUGUUGUUCGAACGAGUUUUAAAUAUUGUUCUUGGAGGGGUGAUUUAGCUAGCUGGCCUCACCGCCACAGCCUUUACUUUAGGUCUCUUUUCCCUUGCGUAAUUGCGUUAGGCUGUUUUUUCACACUAAUUAAAUCGGUGACCUGUAACCAUGUUCAUCAUACCUUUUAGGUUUGAAGCAAUCUUGGAAUCAGUCAUAAGAUAAUAUCACAUAUGCUCUGAUACCAAAAACUAAUCAUCUGCAAAGUGCUAAGUUCUGCAACAUUAAUGAGCGUUUCAGCUUUUUUAGCAGGUCUAUCAAACAACUCUACAACGCCUGUAGUAAUCCAUGUUGCUGGUGCAUCAACUAAGUAACGGUUCUUGAGCUAGAUUCCAGAUUCGAAUAUACAACCAAUCCUAAAACUUUAUGGGAUUGAUCGAAAGUCAAUCAUCUGACUAACAAAAGCAAAAAUAAAGAAAGGGGUAGAGAGCAUAUUCGAUCAUCCACAUGCUUCAGCAACUCCACUUUACAAACACUUUCCUGCCUCCCUGCAAAUGUGUCAACUAAUUCAACAGCCUUCAGCCAACCAAAUAAUUAAAGUCAAACUUGUACUAAUUAAGUUAAUGAGUAGGACUCAACAGCAACUUAACAUCAGUUUCUCCUUUUGUUCUCCCAAUUUAAUGAUCAAUACCUAUCAUUUUGAUCAUUGUUAAUACUUUCAAUUCAUAUUAACUAAUGGCAAUCCCUACAACAAUUGGUUAGCAGCCCUAUGAACUGAAUUCACUGAUGUCUAUCAAGUAUCAACAAGCACAUGUAUUCAACACUAUCGAAUCACAGAAAUGCUUAGAAGUCACACCAAAUGGGUUCCAUUCCCACGAAAUGGCAAAGAAAAACAGGGUAGAACAAUGCUAUAGUCUACUGGAAAUGUCACUUUCUUUCUAUGCAACUCUUCAUUAGGAAUCUUGAUAAAAAAAAUUGAAUGUAACGUGCUCAAACCUGAGGCCUUUGCAUGAUGCAACCGGAAAGGUCCAACCACUCACUCUUUGUGAAUGUUAUGGAUAGCUGCGCCAAUGCUUUUGCAAUCGAACUCCAUCACCUUCAUCCAGUUCUCAAAGUCUCCAAUUUCCUGUAUAUCAAUAGUUUCCAUGAAAUGAGUGCUUUCACUAUCAGUUUCAUGUUCCGGAUUCCCAGUUUAUAUCAAUCCACAAACCUUGAUUGCAGUGUUCAUAGCGUGAGUGGCAGAUAACCAUUGAUCACUCUGCUUCAUGAACCGGGUAAUAGUGGCUGCCAAUGCUCGUAUCUCUGAUUCAAUCUGCUUCUCAAUUAUAAACGACUCUUCUACACCGCCAUUUACAGCAUCUACUAACAGAUUUGACACUCUCACCGCUUUCCUAAUCGCAUCUUUCUUAGCUUUCUCUGCAAAAAUAAAAAGAGAAUUAUGCAAUGAGAAAAUGAAAUCAACGAGAUCGCCUAUGGGAAAAUCGUAAAUCCUGAAAUCAACUUGCCUGUUUGCUCUCGCAGGUGGAGAGCAGCUUGUUGGUGAUCCUGGACAAGGUGAAUAAGCGACGCUUCAAGAGCUCCGACCUCAGCCUGGGAUCUCUCCAUUUUUCGUAUUUAGAUUACCAAGUAUAGAUAGAUGCAGGCUGCAAUAAAUGGCCAAUGUUUACGAACUCGCAGCAUACUCAUGCUUCAUACGAAUACAAUCCUCGGCUGAAGUGAACCAUUUCACGAUUAGCAUACACAGCUAUGACUAAAAUUCAUAGUACAUUGUUCAAAUUGAAAAUUGCAAACAUUCACAAACUCAUUUGCUCCUUAAUUCACAAAAUUUCUAAGCAAUUCCUGCAGGAGUCCAGAAUUUCUCAAUCGAUGAACAAUAAGCAGGGAGGCUAUGACAAUCACCAAAAAGAAAAGAACAGGACAAAAACUAAGAACUAGUCCAUACACGUAUAAAGAAAUUCAAUCAGUAACAAGUAUGACCCAACGAUUUUCGAAAGAUAAAAUGAGGAAAAAUGACGGAAAUCUAGGACUUCCACUGAGAAUCCGAGGAUCCCCUAGGUUUUGAGACGAUCAGACCUUGAAGCAUUGCAGUAGCUACCCGGAUGGAUGAAUUCCUUGGUGAGUCUCAGAGGUUGAAUAAGUUCCGCCGGUAUUCGGCCAGGGAAGAAAACUUUCCCGUUCGUAUGUUCACUCACAGCCGCGUUUCUCCGGCUGUUCUAGAGAGAAAGAGUCGUCGACAAUGGGGUUGCGGGCCGGACUUGGGCCUGAAGAAAGUAUGAUAGAUUUGGGUUUGUAGGGCCGGAGUUCGUAGGACUGAAAACAGCGGGGUUGACCAAACGAGCUAUCAUAGAAUUUUUCCAAACAUUGUAUAUUUCCGGUUUUGUAUAAAAUGAUUAUUUCCAAAUUAAUACGGUAUACUAUUAUACAUACAAAACCUCCGGGACUUAAAGUCCGGUUUUGUUAGAUUCAAUAAUUUGUUUGAGUUGAUGAUUUAAAAUAAUAAAAAAAUAAAAUAGUUGGAGAUUUAAAAUAGAAAAGAUUUGAAUGAAGCGUAUUACUUUUAAAAUAACUCGUUUGACUGAGUGAAUUUGAGGGUUUUGAGUACAAUUAUUACAUAAAGAGAAAAUUAAAUUAAAAAGUUCAAAAAAUAAAACUACUUAAAUACGCCAUAUACUAAAUAUUAAUGGGUCGUUUGGAUAGAUAAUUUUGACAGGUGAUUUGGACAUCUAAAGAGAUUUCGUCUCAAGUCACCCGUUUAGGAUAUCAAAACGAGACGAGAUGUGGGAAGAUAUGAAAUCACCUUGUAAGUGAUUCUAAAUCACAGAGGAGAGGUAGAGAUUUCGGAAGAGAGAGGAUAGAUUUGAAAAUAUUAACAAAAAUUACCCCUUAUUUCUUUUUUAAAAUUGAUAUGACUAUAAAUAAACUAGAGGUAUUUGUUUCUAUUUGUAAUUUUUUUAUUGUUGUUUUAUUUUUCUCUCUACAAUAAUUGCAUUCAAAAUCACAAAUCUAAACGGUCUAUUUCAAAAGUAGCAAACUUCAUUCAAAUCUCUUCUAUUUCAAAUCUCUUUUAUUUCAAAUCAUCUACCCAAACGACCCGUUACAAGGGAUUUUGAGGAUAAUUUUGGUAAGAACUUUCAAAUCUCCCUUCUCUCCUCCCAAAUCUCUACCUCUCCGGGGUGAUUUGAAAUCACCCUCGAAAUUUUCUUCGGGCCCACAAGGAAAUUUCAAAUCACCCAAAAUCUCUUCCGAUUAUUUAAGCAUCCAAACAAGUGAUUUGGGACAAAAUCUCUACCGAGAUGCAAAUCACGCUCAAAUCAUCUGUCUAAAUCGCAACCCAAACGAGCUACGUGAUUGAUUAAUAAAUAUACCGUGAGAGGCAGGAAAUGUAUAUAAAAUGCGAAGGCUAUUUAAUACGGAACAUGAUAUGAAUAUUUUAUAUAAAUAUAGUUGAAUGCUUAUUGUGUAACUCUCAUUGCAUUAAUCAUGUAUUAUAUUACUCUUUUAAUUAUAUUAAUGUUAUAAUGUAUAGAUUAUGAUUUCAUGAGCUUAUAAAUAAAACACUUCAUUGUAUAUUUCUAAACCUCAAUAAGAAAUUUUUUCUUUCUCCAUAUUCCUCUUGUUCUUAUCUUUCUUUAAAUUUAGUUUUAUAAUAGAAGAAUAAUUGAUUUCAAUAUAAUAUGAGAGGAAUAGUAAGCAAAAUGGGAUUGGAUCGAAGACUGUUGAUUGACAGCUACAAUUAAUCAAUGACAAGAUAUUAAUUAGCUAUGUUAGGGUUGGGAAGAAGAGACUACGUACUAUUCAUAGCAANNNNNNNNNNNNNNNNNNNNNNNNNNNNNNNNNNNNNNNNNNNNNNNNNNNNNNNNNNNNNNNNNNNNNNNNNNNNNNNNNNNNNNNNNNNNNNNNNNNNNNNNNNNNNNNNNNNNNNNNNNNNNNNNNNNNNNNNNNNNNNNNNNNNNNNNNNNNNNNNNNNNNNNNNNNNNNNNNNNNNNNNNNNNNNNNNNNNNNNNNNNNNNNNNNNNNNNNNNNNNNNNNNNNNNNNNNNNNNNNNNNNNNNNNNNNNNNNNNNNNNNNNNNNNNNNNNNNNNNNNNNNNNNNNNNNNNNNNNNNNNNNNNNNNNNNNNNNNNNNNNNNNNNNNNNNNNNNNNNNNNNNNNNNNNNNNNNNNNNNNNNNNNNNNNNNNNNNNNNNNNNNNNNNNNNNNNNNNNNNNNNNNNNNNNNNNNNNNNNNNNNNNNNNNNNNNNNNNNNNNNNNNNNNNNNNNNNNNNNNNNNNNNNNNNNNNNNNNNNNNNNNNNNNNNNNNNNNNNNNNNNNNNNNNNNNNNNNNNUAGAAGAGAAAUUUUUCUGGAAAGUUUAACUUUUUAUUGUAGAGAAUUAUCUGAUUUUAUUUGGAGGAGUAAAAAAAAGAAUAUGAUUUUAUUCUUUUUUAAAAGAUAGAUUGUUUAAUUCUAAUCGGCCUACAACUCUUUUUUCUCCCACCCUACUUUUUCUUUAUAAUAUCUUUUUUUGGUUAAUUUUUAAACCUACCUAAUUAAUAAUUAAUAGAGAAAUCCCAAUCAACAAAUGUCAUGUUAGCAAAAUGUCCAACUGGACGUGUUAAUUCAUCAUAACUGCCCAAAAAAAGGACUUACUUGAUGGUCUGAGAAAAGUGUAGGGGCUUGAUUAGAAAGAAAAAUAAUAAAGGGGCUCAAUUGUUAACUUGUAAUAGUAUAUGGGCCAUUUACCAUAAUCCCUUAUUAUUAUUAUUAUUGAAAAACCAUACACCUUUAUAUUUGUUACGUAUAUCCAACUUUCUGCCAUAUCGAUGGAAAACGUGAUGGGUUUCAUUGACAAUCCAGAUAUGGAACCAACCCCAUGAAAGAACAAAAAAAGUAGUGUUCUAUGAGCCCAGUUUCGAGGAAUGUCGUCCAACGGUUACGGUGGAUCAAGAUAAAGAGAAACAGUGGAAAUUCCAAAUUAGAGUCAUACAAGAUCCAGUACUUCACUACAAAAAAAACUAGGUAAUCUGUAAAGGGAACCGUGAAAUUUCUAUGGGCCAAACAGUUGGCCGAAGACUUACCUUCCCUGUACACUUGGGAAACGGCGACAGCCCAAUCGCGCCUAAACAGACUGCAAAGCUAAAGCACGAGAUUAGCGAGCUAAUGCAACGACUCCUCCGUAGCCUGCAGAUUGGACAAAGCUACUUUCGAGUCUAUUUGCAAGGCUACCCUCUGAAUUAGCCACUCAUUUUUUUAGAGGCAAACAAAUAUGUUUAAAUAUCAUUGUAUAGCAAACCAGUUUCAGCGAUGAUAGUAACUACGCUUGCUGUUGGCGAGGAGGUCAGAGGUUCGAAACACAUGUAGCUUUUUGCUCUAUUUUCCAAAGGGUUGGAUGCAUAGACCAGAAGAAGAUACUCUUAUAAGAGAGAAAUUUGGUUUACUCCAAAAUACCGUGUCGUUUUCUUUUAACUGAUUGGUUACUUUUGCUGUGCUAUUUCUUUUUCUUUCUUUUGAAUUGUCAUCUUUGUACGACGUGACAAGUUGACAACGAAUUGAGGUCCUACUCCUACCUACUUUAAUUUUUUUUAUAUGAAGGAGUCUUCAUUAAUAAUUACAAUCACUUAAGAAAAAUAGAUAAAUUGCUAGCUAUUAUCCAACUGCUGCAAUUCUGCAUAAUUUAGGGCCAUCUUCUACGUACGUAGUUAGACCAGCGAAUAGUAGAAUAAUACCCCCCACGUUUAAUAAAUGCAUGUUUCCCUUUCAUGGACGGGAGUUGGUAAUCUUGUCGACCCACCCCAUGCAUGCAUGCAUGCACUACUUUUACUUGUCACCGAAAGCCGCCAUCAAGUCAUAUAAGUACCCAUUUAGUCUCCCAUACCUAUCUUCACAAUCAUCCUAAACAUUAUUCAACUCUAACUAAUAACAAAGGCAAAGUAGCUAGAAGUUAAAUACAUAUAUAGAAUUAAAUGGCUGCCGCCGGUAGGUUAUGAAGACAGUGAGAUCCGCCGUGCAAUCCGCCGUCUCCAAGGAAACAAGGGUGGCUGCCUCUCUUAUCCGCUUGCAUUUCCACGAUUGUUUCGUCAACGUAAGUAAUUACUCUCUUUAAUUAUAUAGCUUAGGAAAAUGUGGUUUUGUUUCAUAGUGAGACAAAAUUGAUCACAGUCACACUACCAAUAAAUUAGGGGCCCAUUGUUUUUACUGUGUCAAAAUUAAACGAAUCCUCAUGAGCCCCCAAUUUAUUGGUAUUGAGACAGUUCAUUUUCUUUCUGUGUGAGUCAAAAAAUUCCCCCCCUAGCUUAAUACUAUAUGUUAAAUUCAUUGAUCGAGUUUUCCGGUGUUGGAAAAAACAGGGUUGUGAUGGAUCGAUAUUACUGGAAGACACAGCUUCGUUCACAGGAGAACAAACUGCUCUGCCCAAUGCCGGAUCAGUGAGAGGAUUUAACGUAAUCAAAGACAUAAAGUCCAAGGUUGAGAAAGUCUGCCCAGGCGUCGUCUCCUGUGCCGACAUCCUAGCCAUCGCUGCUCGAGAUUCCACCGCCAUUGUACAAUCGAACACCACUCCAUGUUAAAAUGAAAUAUCUUAUCUACCAUCCAUUUUGAUCUCUUGAUCAAUUAAUUGAUUCUCGUGCAUGGGUGGAUUAUACUUAAUUACUUGCAGGCAGGGGGCAAAAGUUGGAAGGUGAGGCUUGGAAGGAGGGAUUCCAAAACAGCUAGUUUGGCUGCAGCAAACAGUGGAGUUAUCCCUCCCCCUACCGCCACUCUUAACCAACUCAUCACUCGCUUCCAAGCCAGAGGCCUCUCCGCUAAGGACAUGGUCGUUCUCUCCGGUAAUUAAGCAGCGGUAGAUCCACAAGGUAUUGGACCGACUUGUAUAGAUAUGUUAAAUUCAUUUCAAAUUAAUUUUGGCUGCAGGAUCCCACACGAUUGGACAAGCUAGGUGCGUAACAUUCAGGAACAGAAUCUACAACGAGACCAACAUCGACUCUUCGUUUGCAAGAGGCCGACAGCAGAAGUGCCCCAGGGCUCAAAACUCAGGGAACAACAAUUUGGCCCCAUUUGACGUUACGACUCCCAAGUUGUUAGACAACAAGUACUACCAGAACCUCAUCCAGCAAAAGGGUCUUCUCCACUCUGACCAAGUCUUGUUCAACGGUGGAUCGACUGAUUCCCUUGUACGAUCCUACAGUCGUAAUCCAAAGGCCUUCGCCGCGGACUUUGCAUCUGCGAUGAUCAAGAUGGGAAGCAUAAGUCCCCUCACUGGUUCUCAAGGCGAGAUCAGGAAGAUAUGUAGCAGGCCUAACUAAUCGUCAGCAUGCACUUCAUAUUUUUGUUUUUGGGUGUGUUUUAUUUUAUUUUAUUUCAUGUAGUUGGUUAUUUUUUCGUAUACGUCAAAAUUGAGAUUCUACAGUACACGAUCAGACAAGAGUUUCUGAAUCGGAAGUACAAGAAGUAUUGUUGUGUUUACAAGUUAAAAGUACGAUAACAAAGUUGGUUCCACAGUCAAAUCAGAAACAACGAUUUGACUACAUAAUAAAUAAAUUAAUAAUAUAUAUUGGCUCCUGAUCAUAUAUUUGAUGAGAUUUUACUCAUAACCUAAUUACUUUACUCAUUCCUAGCGGUUAUCCGUUUCACCGUAACCUUAAAAUACCUUGCCAACGCUGUUAAUAACCAUAAAAACUUGGUGAGGUAUGGUCAAUUAAGCGGUUAUGCAGUUGGAAUUGCCGAUAAAAGUUUCAUCGAUGAUUUUGUGUGGAUUGCAGAUGAAAUUUUUUUCAUAUUCAUCUUCAUCCUUGGAAAAUCAUGGUAAAGAAAAGCAACAAAGGGUUGGAAUCGGAAGAAAAUCUUCAUCGGAGUUUGCCUCCAAAUUAAUUUAAAUUUAUCGAGACGAAUUGCCUAUUCAGAUUGAGUCUUCUAAUCUUAAUACUUAUUUGUUAGUUUUGAUUUAAAAAAGUUUUUAGAAUAUGUGUAACGCGUCCCUAUAUACAUCACAAGUGAGUAAUAUGUAAACAAAAUCGACUCAAUGUUCUGCGGCAUAGCGUGGCCGUCAAAACUAGUUCAUAUUAAUAGGCACUAAACUACGAAGUUUUGAAUAGAGCAGCUUUUGUGGUUGAUCCAUGGAGUAUAUGCAGGGUACAUCACGUUGAAGAAUUGAAAUUUCGGGGGCUUGAUGGAGAAGCUGACGUCCUUUGGGGUUUUACAGACGAUACAAAUCGCCAAAAUCGAUCGGGCAGACCGUAUUAGGGAUGGGCAGGGCUGAUGCUGAUGGCCGGCGACGCUCUCAAUCUGGAUCUUGGCCUGUGAGAGGAUAAUCCUGAUGUUGAUGGGGAAGAGGAAGGGAAGUGAUCAGGGGAGUGAAAGAGUGUGGUUGGAAACAAGGAGGUGGUGGCGGCCGGUGGUGAUGGGGUGAAGGAUAUAUAUGUUCUAUCUCAGUAGCUAGGGAUGAUGUUUCUACCUUUUAUUUUAAUAUCAGUUAUAUGUUCUAAAUUAUAGAAAGAGGAUGGCAUAUUAGGCCAAUAUUAUUGGCAUUGGCGGGAGUAAGAGUUGACAUAUAUGUAGGCUGACACGUUAUUUCGAGGUUUGAGUUUCCGUUAAUUUGGACGGAAAACGAGAUGGAAUUUUGAAGAAUUGCAUUUUAAAAUAAUAUAAGCUAGAUUUUCCAAAUUGAAAUUAAUUAGAUUGGCCAGAUCUGGGUAUUUAAUUUGCCCUGCAGAAUAUUCGAAGACGUAGCUAGAGAAGUCCCUUCACUUCCCUUUCAGUCUCUGUUGGAAGAAGCUUGGCUGGCGGUAAAGUCAUGAAUCCGAAAUAAAUACCUACUGGGCCGCCGGGAAGAAACGGACAUGCAUAUAUAUAUAUAUAUACACUCUUACUCUAUAGUUUUUAUUUCAAAUUAUUGGACGGAACCUUGACCAUCACAUCAAAUUAUUUGUGUGGAAUUUGCAAAUACAUGUCUACAUGGCCUACCAAUCCACACCGAACAUAAAAGAGGCAGGCUUAUUGUGAAAUUAAUUAUUUGGGAAUAGUAAACAAAUGGGUACGUACGUAAUUAAUGAAAGAAAUUUAUAAGUACAUAACUAUGUAUCUAGUCAAAAUACUCAACAUGACUGGUACUCACUGUGCUUGAUUUGUCUACAAACACAAUAAUCGACGAACACUUUGAAAUUUCUCUGCCUAAACAAAUUUUGAAAAUUCCACCACUACAUUAUUAUUAUUAUUAUUGAAAUAUCGUGUGUUAUUGACGAACGGAUUUUAUCCCGUUAUUAAAUACCCACUAGAAUAAAAUAAUGAAAUUGUAUUUCUAUAGGGUCUUUCUAUUGCUAUUACUGAAUUUAAAUAUGCUAACUAGACCAAAUAACAGUGAAUGAUUGUUUGUUUGAAUGUUUACUGAUUGUUUGUUUGAAUGUUUAUGUAACCAAUUAACAACUAAGAAUGCAAAUAAAAAGAAAGCAAAUGCAAGAGAUUGAGUUUCAAAUAUGCAAUGAAGGUUGUUCGAAUUCUAAUCCACUAAAGCUAGCAAUGCAUGAAUGAAAGAUAUGCUAUCUCAAUUAUUCAGGUUAUAACAGCUUGGCUAUUUCCUACCAUAGUCUUAGAUCACUCUCGCGCCUCUAAGGAUCUAUUCUACCUGACCUAGACUCCUCUCUCGAGUUAAUCUACAUCCAAGCAGAACACACUAAAGAGUGUUUGAUGAAAUGCCACAACGAUAAUGAUGAAAAAAGUCUAAACGAUUCGUUCCUCUCUCAAGCUAAAGAAUAAUCUAGAGUUCUUCCUAAGCGUUCGAUCGCCAAAAUAACUGUGAAGUUAUCUCAACAAGACAAGUGUCGUAUGUGUCCAAGGUUCCUCUCGUUAUGCUUUUACUCAAACUUAGCUACACUGUUUAGACUACACUAAUUGAGAAUGGUUUCCAAUUAUACUACUAAUCCAAUUAAUCUAGCAAUUCAAACUAAGAAAUAGGUUUGCACAUAAGGAGAAGACAAGUUCUUGGAAGGGAUGAUUCAUCAAGCUCAACUUCCUAUUAGUAGUCGGAUCGGACAAAUGUUGGACUUGGAUUGAAUAAUAUAACUCCUCUUAUCACUUGUAUGAAUCUGUAGCACGAUCAUGCACGUGGAUUACCACUACUAGCUUCCCAAUCAAAGUUGGCUAACCAGUAAUGAACACCGAGAAGUUCUACAAAGUGAUAAGGUGGCCUCUUUGAAUUAAAGGAAAUAACAAACAAUUGGAAUUAGUGUUAACUUGGUCCAUCAACACCUAAGUCACUAAUAACUACACCAACUUGGUCCAUUAGGUGCAAACCAGAGCGCCCGCAAAUUACCCGAUAAACAGCUUUUGGCUUAUUCCACUGAAAACUUUCUUCUAUCUUAGAUUGUUAAUUUUAUGAAUUCCCAAGUCGAUCAAACAAAUGAUUUCAUAGAAUUGACCUAAUUCAAGUGGAAAAAAACGCGUUUGAAAGCCAACAAUCAAAGCAAUCUUUCAUUCAAAUCCAAAUAUCAAACAAUCGUCGACCCUAUCAUAGCUCAAUUCUUAUAUCCCAACCAAUAAACUUUAACGAUUUAGCUACUCAUAACUCUAGAAGAAGAGAAAACAAAGAAAGACCUAACCAUCAUCUUGUUGAACAUAUUAUGAAUCAGACUCGCUCCAAUCUUCGCUUUUGGCCUUCUAGUUCCAAUCCUAACUUAGAUCUUCAAUGACACCUCCUUUGAUUCUUCAAUUGAUCUUCUAUGGAUGAAAAGAUGAUGACUUUCAGAGGAAAAUCGGGGAAAAAUCGCUGGGAAUUGUUGAAGAAGAAGCCCCUUUCUCUUUCCUUAAACCACUCCUUUUAUAUCAAAAUUUUCAGAUCAGGGAGGUGCAGGGCAUGCAUCCUGCAUUGUGCGCAUGCAUGCACGGUGUGCAACCCUUUUCGCCGUGAGGUAAUUCCAUGUUAGGGCAUGCACGACGUGCAACCCUUUUUAUUCACCAAUUCUUGCAUCAUCCUUCCAUUCGAGUUCCAAACGUGCUCUAACCCGCGUCUAUUGCCUCAUAGCCAAACCAUAUGUCUCUAAAGUACCUCUGGAUAACAAAUACUACAAUAAAACACAUCAAAUGGACCAAAAUGGUCCAACUGAACGGGUCUAGACAUACAAUGCCAAAAUGCAAAACCACACGGGAUUGAAGCACAAAUGAGCUAGUAUUCACUCAAAAAGCAUGCAGAGGGUAAGAUAAUCGCUACCAAUCAUAGCACUAUCAACGUCCUAUCGAUCUACGUUCCUCUCGGACCCGCAAAUAAAUGACGAUGAAUCAAUUAAGGCGAUCAAACAAAAUUGAAUCCGAAAUUAGGUUUAGCAAGAACACAUUAUAAGUCUUAAUAACCUCGAUAACAAAUCAAAGGGUUAAAAUCUCAUCAUCCAUGCAACAACUAAGCUAAAAUUUUACCUCAUCCAAACAACACGAAAGGUUUAGCUACUUGACGCGCGGAUUUUACCCUGCUAUCAAAUACCCACUAGAUUGCUCUAACUGAAUCGUUUAUUUUCCUAGUGUCUUUCUACUUCUAUUACUGAAAUCGAUUAACUAACUAGACCAAGUAACAGUGAAUGAUUGGUUAUUUGAUUGUUUAUAUAUCCAAUUAUAAACUAAUGACUGAAAUAAAAUAAAUCAAAAUGCAAGAAAUCAAGUUUCAAAGAUAAGAUGAAGGUUGUUCUUACUCGAAUCCACAAUAGCUAGCAAUGCAUGGAUGGACGAUAUGCAAUCUCAAUUAUUCAGGUUAUAAUGGCUUGACGAUUUCCUACGAUAGUCUUAGAUCACUCUCGCGCCUCAAUGGAUCUAUUCCGCUUGACCGUAGACUCCUCUCUCGAGCUAAUCUACACCCAAGCAGAAUGCAUUAAAGGUGUUUGAUGAAAUGCCACAACGAUAAACGAUGUAAAGAGCUUAGAUUAAAUGUUCCUCUCUCGACCUAACGAGUAACCUAGAUUUCUCCCUAAGCGACCUAUUGAUCUAUGUUCCUCUCGGACCCAUAAAUCAAUGACACAGAUUCAAUCAAGAUGAUCAAACGAGAAUGAAUAUAAAAUUAGGUUUAGCAAGAACACAAGAUAAUGUUGAAUAACAUCGAUAGCAAUAUCAAAGGUUUAGAAACCCCUCAUCCAUACAAAAGCUAAGCUAAAGUUUCAUCUGAUCCAAACAACAUAAAAGGCUUAGCACCUCAUGGUUUUGGAAAAUAAAUUACAAGAGAAGAGAAGAAAAAUCUGAGAAGACGACAUGUUCUUCAUGGAAAUCCCAAUCUUGGACUUGAUGAUUUGCCCUUGGCCAAUUGUGGUUGAUUCUCUCGCUUCAAUUGUCUCUCGGGAAUCGUAGCUCUCUCUAAGAACCCGAAAAUAUGUGUAUAAUGAAGUAUAUCUCGUCCAUAGGGGGUCUCGGGGGUAUUUAUAGACUUCUGGGUCAAGUUGGAGAAGGAAAAGGACUUGAGAACUUGUCUGGGGGUGGGGCAGCCGUGCUCCAUAAGGAACACCUUGUUCCCGACCGUCUUCCUUCGCUGUAACUUUCUCGGGCAAUUCGAGAGGAGGAACACACCAUGUUCCUUCAUUUUAAAGAAUUUGACUAUAGCGUCAACAUAAAAUUUGUAGACAAUAAAAUAUCUUUCCAACGCAGCUAACCUUGCAUCAAUUGGACUUCUGAGCGAUGAGUGAUGUUCAAAAUACUAAACAGUGGCGUUUGCUUCCCAAAUGGAACGUUUUGAGUUGUUCCAGCGUUCCCGUCAUGUUUUGGUUCAUCUCUAAUCGUCAUAUGACACCUGAAAUGUAGAAAAAAUAUACAAAAUAUCAUAACACGGCCUAGGGGGCAAGAGAACCAAACAUGUACUCAAAAACCCGAAUUGGAAUACAUUUUGACACACAAAAUAUAGUUUAUAACGAGAAAAGGUGUGUCGAAAAUACAGCACAUCACUACUCAUGGUUCGAAAAACAAGAAAAGUAGAAAAAAGGAAAAUUAACAGAGAAGAAAACAUGUUUUGUCGAGAAAUCUCUGUCUUGUCGCCGAUCUUCAAUCGUUGAUGUUCUCUCGCUUCAAUCGAUAUUUGGAACUGUAUCUCUCUCUAAAAUCUCUAAAACCUUUAUGAAAAAGGUAUAUUAAUGUCCCAAGGGUCUAUAUAGACUUUGAGACCAUGUUGGAGAAGGAAAAUGCCCAACAAUCUCGUUAGAAACUAACACACGGCCGUGUGUUAUGCUUCCCGUUGCUACUGCUUAGUAACACACUCCGUGUGUUAAAAUAUACGGAUUUCUUUCUCGAUGUUAACAUGAUAGUUGUAGAAAAUCGAAUUAUCUUUCCAACGCCACUUACCUUGGAUCAAUCGGACUUCCGAGCGACACGUUGUGCUGAAAAUACUAAACUGCAACAUUUUCUUCCCAAGUCGAACAUAUUGAGUUGUUCCAGCCUCCCCGCCAUGACUUGAUUCAUCCCGAGACAUCAUAUGACACCUGAAAUGUACAAAAACAUACAAAGCAACGUAACACGGUCCCAAGGGGCAAAGUGUAACAAAAUACUCAUGAAACAGCCCAAAGACGAUCGAAGUGAAACAUCCAAGCAUCCAAAACCGUCGUUCAACGCGGGAAUAAUUGUCCUAAUAAUUGAGCUCAUCAGUUACGAUUGUGCUAAUUGUUCUAUAGUGUCGGGAUUGGUAGAGAUUAUUUCACCCUAUCUGCAUGCUUUUUGAGUGAAUACUAGCUUUUUUUUGCUUUAAUCAUGUACGAUUUUGUUCUUUGGCAUUGUUUCACUUGGACCGUUUCGGUCCAUUUGAUGUGUUUUAUGUAGUAUUUGUUAUCCACCGGUAUUUUAGAGACAGAUGCUCUGGCUAUGAGGCUAUGGACGUAGAAUAGAGUACGGUUGGAGCUCGGACGGAAGAAAGAUGCAAGAACUGGUGACGAAUAAGGGCUACAUGCCGUGCCUUAGUGUACGCCAUGUAGUACCAAAAGCUUGAAUUAUCCUCAUAGCAAAAGGGGGUGCAUGGCAUGCACACUUGCACGGUGUGCACCUCCCUGUUCCAGUAGCUACCAUAUAAAAAGGCGAUUUUAAGGAUAGAGAACAACAAGUCUUCUUCAACGAAUUCUCUCAAUUUUUUCCCGAGUUGUCCCAGUAAAAACAUCUUCUAUUCAUCCCUAGAAGUCCUAUUGAAAAUCCGAAGGAGUUCCCACAAAAGUUUGAAGCUAGGAUUGAAGCUAGAAGGCUAAAAGCGAAGAUUGGAGUGUGAUCGAUUCAUUAUCUUUUCAUCAAGAUGGUGGUUAGGUAUUUUCUGAUUUUUCUUCUUCUAGUGAUAUGAGUAGCUAAAUCCUUAGAGUUUUUGGUUGGGAUGUAGGAUUUGAGCUAUGAUAAUGUCCCUAAAAGUAUAGGAUCGACGAUUGUUGGAUAUUUAGAAUUGAAUGAAAGAUUGCUUUGAUUGUUGGUUUUUCAAUCUUGUUCUUGUUACGACUUGAAUUAGGUCAAAUCUAUGAAAUCUUCUGUUUGAUCGACUUAAGAAUUCAUAUGAUUAACAAUCUAAAAUAUAAGAAACUUAACGAUGGAGUAAGCCAAUAGCUCGAUUCUACCUUUCGUGGUUUCUUUUGGUUUUAAUGGUUGUUCAUCGGGUAGUUGGCAAGAGCUCUGAUUUGCACCUAAUGGACCAUGUUGGGUGUAGUUAUCAGUAGCUUAGGUAUUGUUAGAUGAAGUUAACAGUAAUUCCAAUUGUUCGUGAUUUUUUGUAAUUCAAAGAGAGCACCUUAUCACUUUGUAGAACUUCUCGGUGUUCAUUUCUGGUUAGCCUAGUUGAGGUGAUUCCAAUCCUGAUUGGGAAGCUAGUAGUGGUAAUCCGCUUGCAUGAUUGUGCUGCGGAUUCAUAUGACUGAUAAGAUGAAUUGUAUUAGUCAAUCCUAGUCCAACAUUUUCUCGAUCGACUACUAAUAGGAAGUUGAGCUUGAUGAGUCAUCCCUUCCAAGAACUUGUUUUCUCCUUGUUGGUAGCCAUAUUGACCAUACCUUGACCAGUUUUGCUCCGGUUACGAUGAUAAUUGAUGGUUAUAAGUGCCCGGUUUGAUCAUUAGUGCAUUUCGUGCUCGUUUCCUCUCAAAACGGACCAUUUCGGUCCAUUUCACUUAUUUUUUGGAGUCUCUUCCUUGAUUGCAGGUAUCCGUUAGAUAGAGGGUUCGAAUAAAAAGCCGAUGGUACCUUCCGAAGCGAAAUCGGAGUCCGAAUGAAGAAGUUAUGGCAAAAAGAAGUCCAUCAAUGCUGUUGUUGACCAAUCAAGGUCAUGACACAGGCUGUCACGGCCGUGAUAGGUGUCACGGCCGUGAUGGGUAACCUGUCACGGUCGUGAUGCCUAGUCUGGGCAGCAAAAUUAAUUCAGCACCAGACGCGAUUUUAUGGGGGGGGAGGAGACGGAAAAUGACGAACUAAAACACAUUUUGACGAAGGGGAAAGUGCCUGGGAACCUAGGAACACCAUGGGAAUGAAGAUUUGAAGCCAAAUAGUCGAGGAAUCGAAGCCCAAUGGAGGAUCUACCUUCUAUUUUGAUGGAUUGGCGGUUUGAAACUUUCUCUACAUCUUUCAUGGAAAAACAGGAUUUCUUCUUGUUUGGGUUUUGUGAAUUUCUUUGGAUUUGUGGGAUUGUUCUUGUGUGUAGUGAUAAGAUUGUGGAUUCAUGUUGAUUGAUGAUGUGUUUUGUUCUCUUGUUAUCUCGAUUGCCCAUUUGAGCGGAUAAUUGUGGGUGUUGCAAGUGGUUUUAGGAUGUUGAGUUGAUAGACCCAAUCUUAAGACCCGAAAUAUAUCAUUAUCCAUGUUCCUAUUUAUUUUGCUGCUGAACAGCUUCCCAUAGUCCUUAGGAUGAUCCAAAACCCAAACAAGCCCUUCCCCCCCAGACAUUCUCGCCUUAAUUUGAUCAAUAGCCAUCGAGUGAUAUAUUUGCAUUUCUCGUUUCCUGUUUCCUUCAGUAGUUGUUCUGGUUUCAUUUUAUAGUUUAGGAUAAAACUGUUUGCAAAUUGUGAUCGACUAACCAGCGAACCAAAGUUGAGUAGUGAAGGCCAAGUGAACCGAGAGAAUUUGACUCUGAAUAUCUCAGAAUCAUUUGAUUGUUUGGGCUUGAAAACCCUGACGUCAAAUUGGCGUCGUUGCCGGGGACAUACUUGACUUCACGAAAGGUGUAGGAUUGCUCGCUUAAUCUUUAUUGUUUUGUUUCACCCCUCUUGUAUUUGUUGUUUUGGAUAGUUUAGCUUUGUUUUGCAGGAUGAAGUAUGGAUAACCACGCACAGAUGCAGUUUGACUCUCCUAAUCAAGGCUUCCCGCCGGUUCAUUAUGGAUAUGAGAAUGAGUAUGACUGUGGUUAUGGUGAUUUCACUAAUAGGAGUUCAAAUGAUCAAGGCUAUUCAAAUUGGCAAGACCAAUCUGGGUUUCAUGGUGAUUCUCAAUUUCAUGACUCGAUGAAUGGGAAUUAUGGUCCCUCCACUUCCAAUGAAGAUAUUGUCAAGUUAAUCCAAGACAUUGAAGCUCGCUAUCGUGCCGAUAUAGCUAUUCAAGUGGCUCACCAUGCGAGGAUUAAAGCAUCUUUGGGAGAGCUUUAAGAGUCCAUCAAUGUCAUUGCUUUCCAACUCAAAGAAGAAAGAAAUAGUCACCGAGCAUCUCAACAAGAAACUAACUCUUCAUGCCCUAUCAUGGAAACAACAAGUGUUGAGAAGUUGUUAAGUGAUUUUGUAAGAUAACUUGGGGCAAGAUUGGUAAAGCAAGAAGACAAGAUUGAUCGCUUAUCAAGUAAAAUGAAAAUCCUCCAAGAUGCUUUCUUUGAAUUGGAACACAAGACUUGAGCUUGGCAUACUGACAUUGGAGAAAGAAUUAAAGUGGUAGAACAAAUUGAAGAUGUUGGUGCGAUCGAGGAGGAGUCUAAAGAUGAGAAGGUUUUUUGGCUAGGCUGAGACAGGGCGACAUUGAAGAAUUUACGUUCUACUUUUCCGAUGAAGAAAAGGGAAAUGCUUAUAUGGAAAAGUUGAGAAAGGGUAUGAUUCCUAGCCCUCCUCUUUUGGUCGAAGACAUUGACAAAUUAUCCACACUUACCGAUCCUGAAAAAUGAGUGAGUUACGUGUAGUCCAUAUCGUCCAUGAUAUAAAAUGCAAAUCUUUUACAUGAGAAACUUUUAAGAAUCACCGGUAACAAAUUUGGGAAGACGGACAUCUAUAAAGUCGUAACAGUACAGUGAAUCCGUCAAAAUAUUAUCAUGAAUAUUAGAAAAGACCAUGAUUGUCAACAUCUAGUUUUGUCAUAAGUACUUAGCAGGAAAAUCAGUGAUAAAUAUAGUGGAUAGAGACUUUUUAGUCCUUCCCUGAAAGUUCAAACACAUCCGAAGGAUUACUGUGCACCCUAAUUUCUGCUCGUGUUAAUUAAAAUUGUAGAUAUUUUUUUUUUGAAAAGAAAAUUGUAGAUAUUAAUGGCCAUCUUUUAGCUGAGCAAUGUAAUUGUCCAUCAUGGAAAUGAAUGCAGGUUUCCCCUCAAGGGGGUUGGUUGGUAAUUUGUCCCAGCCAUGCAUGCAGCCAGUAGUGUCACUAGUGACUUAGCUUUAUGUUGUGAUCUGAAAUCCUCCAUCAGUUCCUAUAAAUACCAUUAGUCUCCCAAAGCAAUCUUUGCACAACUUGUUUAAACUCCUAUAUAGCCAGUAGCUACCAAAUAAUAAAUAAUUAUAUUGCUCGAUCGAUCGGUAAUUAAAUAAUGGCUGCAGCCGGUAAUUCAACUAUUUGGGUACGUUCAUGUUUGGUGGUGGCUUUGCUUGCGGUGUUUGGUACUGGGAAAUGUUGGGGUCAGCUCUCCACAAACUUCUAUUCAGAGAGCUGCCCUAUGCUGAUGGACACAGUGAGGUGCGAAGUCGAAUCCGCUGUCAACAAGGAAACAAGGAUUGCUGCCUCUCUCCUUCGCUUGCACUUUCAUGACUGUUUCGUCAACGUAAUUAUCGAUGUUUCUCUGUCUCUCUCUAUAUUUUAUGAAAAUCAGCUUUCAUAACAUAAAUAUAAAUUUGUUUUUGUAAUAUAGUAGUAGACUAGUAGUGCAAACUAGACACUAUAACUAGUCAAAUCCAUGCCAGUUAAAAAACAAUUAAAGUGAGAGAGGCUUGAACUCUCAACCCCAGGAUCACUCAGCUAUGAGACCUAGACAUUAGCCAAUUGCACCACCACCCCUU
rnacentral:lncRNA from 1 species